rnacentral:lncRNA from 1 species
GAUUUAGGAUUUAGAAUUUGAUUUAAGAUUUAAGGUUUGGUUAGAAUUUGAUCAAGAUUUGAUUUAGGAUUUAGGAUUUUAUUUGAAUUUUUUUAGGAUUUGAGAUUUAAUUAGUUUUUGGCCUAAAGUUUGAAUGAAGUCCAAUAAGAUAAAAAUUAGGAUUAAAUUAAGAUUGAAUUGAGAUGUAUUUGAAAUAUAUUUGUAAUUAUUUUAAUAUUUUUUUAAGAUUUCUUAUUGUUUCUUUGGAAUUUCUUUGAGGUUUUUCUAAAUUUUAUUAAAGAUUGUUUAACAUUGUUAGUGUUCUAUUAAAAUUAGGAUUUUUUUGUUGUAAUUUCCAUUCUACUUUUUUUAGCUAGGUGCCUGGAGCAUUCUCAAGUAAGACUCCACGUAUUACAAUAGUGGCAAGAAGUUGUACAAUUGACCAAAGCAAGUAGAUUCAUCUCACAACCAAAUCCAAGGAAUUUUGCUUCUACAAGUAUAAUGGAGACAAAGAUUAGUAUGCUUGAGAAGUUUAAUGGAACAAGAUCAAGAUUUUAAGAAUUUUUACAAUAAAUCAAAUACUAUCUAAAGCUGCAUCACUUCCAAUAUCUUCAUGGAUUUAUUCAAGUUGGAUUUAUAUGUGCACUUUUAUCAAGAAGUGUUUUUUCUUUGUUUAUACCUUUAAUAAAAAAGAAUUCAUAAUUCUUUUAUGAUUUGAAUUCAUUCCUAGGAGUAUUUACUGCCACAUUUGGAAAAAGUGAUUGAAAAAGAGUAGUAAAGUUUAAGCUCUUAUUUUUAUACCAAAGAUCAUGGUCAACUACCAUAUAUGUUGCUAAAUUCCAAAACCUUCUUGUGACAUGGACUAGAAUGACAAAGCCCUUAUCAAUCAAUUUUAAUAUGGAUUGAAGGAUAAUAUUAAAGAUUUAUUAUUUACAAUGCCAAAGACAGAAUCUUUGAAUAAUUUAUUACUUAAGCCAUUGCAUGCAACAAUCAAUUAUUUGAAAGACAUGAAGAACAAAGACUUGGCUUGAGAAGAAUAAGUCAAAUAAUGAGAGUAGCUCCCAAGUUUUUAAAAACUUAUUCAUCAAGGUCAGAGCCAAUGCAAAUUGAUAUGGUACGUUUUAAAUCUCUUAUGGAGCAGAAAAAGACUUAAAAAUGCCAAGAAGGCUUAUACUUAUAUUAUAGAAAAGCUAAACAGACAACUCAACAUUGUUCAAAGAAUCAACGCAACCACAAAAUGACAAGCAUGGUUGCCAAAAAAGACAAUGUGUCGGAAAACAAAUUUCUCCAACUAUAGUAGGAACCAUGUGGUUAGAAUCUUACAUAACUCUUAAUAAAUGUCUUAUUUUUUUUUCAGACCCUUCACCUUGUUUUAUAAUAGAAGUUUAUGUAGAACCAAAAAAUCACGAAGUCUUAGCUUUGUUAGAUUGAGGAGCCUCUACUUGUUUUAUAGAUGAAGAUUUUAUAAAAAAUAAGAGAUAUUGUUAAUCAAAAAAAUUAAAUCCAUAUAUAUAGAAGUCAUAGAUAGUCUAUUUGCUAUCUUUUAGAGAUGUUAUACAUGAUGUUUUUGAAAAGAAGAAUGUAGAUAUACUUCCAAAGCAUUAUUCUUAUGAUUUUUCCAUCGAUCUUUAAGAAAGAACUCAACCACCAUUUGGACGAAUCUAUAGCCUAUGACAAAACAAGUUGGCUGCACUGAAAGAGUAUAUUGAUAAGAAUUUGGCUAAGAAUUUUAUACACUAUUUUAAAUCUCCAACUGAGGCUCCUAUCUUAUUUGUGAAGAAAAAAGAUGGAUCUUUGUGGAUGUGUGUGGACUGUUGAAGACUCAAAAAGAUCACCAUUGAGAAUAUGUAUCUUCUAUCUUUGAUUUCAAGACUUUUCUCAACUCAAUUAAAUAAAGAUCUAUACAAAAAUAGAUCUACAAAGAACAUAUAAUUUGAUACAUAUUAAAAAAGGAGAUGAAUAAAAAAUUACAUUUUGAACCAGAUAUGGAUAUUUUGAAUAUAAUGUCAUACCUUUUGGACUCAUAAAUGCACUAGUUGCUUUUCAAUAUCUAAUGAUUGAUAUCUUUUGUGAGUUUCUUGAUGAUUUUGACAUUUUUUAUUUAGACAAUAUCUUAAUUUAUUCUAAAAAUAUAGAAGAGUAUGAAGUUGAUAUUCAUUAUAUGUUAUAAAAACUUAAAGAUAUAAGAUUACAUGCUAAAUUAAAAAAAUGUGUAUUCUACAUUAUUCAAGUUGAUUUCUUAGGAUAUAUCAUUUCCAAGAAAGGUCUAAUGAUGGAUUUAAAGAAGUUCUAAAUUAUCGUAGAUUAAAAGAUUAUAAGAACAAUAAGAGACAUGUAAUAUUUUUUAUGCUUUGCCAAUUAUUAUUAAAUCUUCAUCAAGAAUUUUUUUCAAGCUAUAGCUCCACUUAUAUGUUUGACUUGUAAAGACAAACUUGAGUGGAGUAAAUAAGCUGAAGCAUUGUUUGAUGCUUUAAAAAAAGAAUUUACUUUUGUACCAAACUUAUAUCAUAUUGACUUCUCUAAGGCAUUUUUCAUGGAAACAAAUGCAUCAAACUUUGUCUUAGGUGCAUUAUUGCCACAAAUGGAAAUAAAUAAAAAAACUCCAUCUAAUAGUUUUUAUUCUAGAAAAUUUUUAGUAGUCGAGAUUAAUUAUGAAAUCCAUGACAAAGAGCUCUUUGUAAGCAUGGAUUCAUUUCAAGAAUAAUAUCAUUGUUUGGAAGGCACCUUGAAUUUAGUCACUAUAUAUAUAUAUAUAUAUAUAUAUAUAUAUAUAUAGAUAUUACAAGAACCUCGAGUACUUCAUGUUGAUAUAUAUUUUGAAUCAUCUCCAAGCUUACUAGAGCAUGUCUUUAUGAAGAAUUGAUUUCAAGAUUACUUAACUUAAAGAACAAGGUUUUUUGAAUGCCCUUUCUAAAUAUUCUUAUCUUGCAUCAAAAGAAGAAGAUGCAUCUUUGAUCAAUAAGGAACCAUUCUUUUGAAGCCAAAGCAUUUUUACCUUUGAAAAAUAAAAUCAACAUUAAACAACAUACUUUAUUUUGAGGGACGAUUAUACAUUCUAGAAGGUAGGACACAAAUACAUGUCCUUUAAACUCGUCAUGACUUUCCAACAGCCAAACAUUUUGGAUACAACAAGACUUUGGAAUUAAUAUCAAAAGAUUUUGAGUGGCCUCAAAUAUAAAAGGCAAGCAAAGACUUUGUAUAAUCAUAUAAUAUUUAUUUAAGAUCCAAAAAUCCUCGCAAUUAAUCUUAUGGAUUUCUUCAGCCAUUACUUAUUCCAAAACAACUAUGGUCUUCUAUUUCUAUGGAUUUUCUUACGGAUCUUCCAGUCUCACGUUCGUAUGAUUCUAUAUUUGUGAUAGUAGAUAUUUUAUCAUAAUGGCACAUUUUGUACUAUAUAAAAAAUAUAUCACAUGUAAAAAAAUAGUGUUUUAUUGCAUGGUUUUUUCUUUGAGAAUACAUUGGAUACCUAGUUGUAGAAAGUUUAGUUUUAACUUGUUGGCUAAGUUCCAAUAAGUUAUUUAAUCUUUAAAAUAGAAGACAAAUAAAUAUGACAAUAUCAAAAAGAUAUUGUACUAAUAAAACCUUUCAUAUUUAAUAAGGUUUGUACAUAAGGCUUUCUAAAAUAUCUAGAAAUUUCCUAACAUUCUUUGCCAUACCAAAUCAUAACUAACCAUUUGUUGAUAAGUUAGAUUUUUAAUAAUUUCAAAGAAAAUCCAUAAUCUCCUCUCAAAAGCUUAUCUUUAUAUAUAAAUUUAAUUAUAGCUCUAUAUAUCCAUUUUCAACAUGCAUAUAUAAUCUUGGGUCCUAAAAAGUUGUUUACAUUAUAUAAAAUAUUCAAAUUAUAAUAAAACCCCUUUAUAACAUAUUUUUUUUCUCAAAGGAUUUUUUCUUUCUAAAUUUUAGAAAUUCAUAUCUCUUGAUCCAAUUGUUCAAUUUUUUUCAAAUUUAUAGAUAAUAUAUCAUUUAUCCUUAUGCAUUACCACAAAAAAAUUUAAUUAUAAAUUUACUACUAAUUGUUUGACAUCUUAAAAAUCCUAGCAUGUGCUCUAAAUCCUAAUUCACAAGCACCCAAGUAUUAUUUUUUUAUAUCUCACAAAUCCAAAAUCCAAAUGCUACAAAAUUUGUGCAUAAAAUUUAAAUAUAUAAAAAUAUACGUUCUUGAAAAUUAUUAGCCAAAAUCUUAUCAAAUUACUUAAGAUAUAGUUUAAAAUACAACUACUAGCAAUUUGGGUCACUUACUACUCCUUAGAUUCCAAGCACUAAUUUCAACUUUCAAUAUCUCCUUUAUUCUAACUUAGAAUUUAUCAAGAAAUAUAAAUAAAGUAUAGCCAAGAAAGUGCUCUGUUUAAUCUUUAUUGCGAAUCCUCUGUUGCUUUUUGUACAUGUGCGUUAUAUCCAAGAGAAUGAAAGUAGAUACAAAAUCAACACCUUAACUUUGAAUAUCUAUAUCUCUUUCAUAUAAAUUCCAAAUCAUACAAAAUUUGUACCAAAACUAUAGCCAAAAACCUAAACUUGUUGAUUCUAGCCUUCAAAGAUCAAAUGAAUUGAAAUUAUAAUCCUAAUCCCUAAUAAGGCCUCAAGUAGCCUCCUUGCAGCCCAUUGGGCAUGAUUUUUUAUCAAUAGGAAUGGAGAUUUUCAUCAUCUAUCUCCAUUCAUCCAUAUAGAUGCCUUGACUAUUCUUUUUGCUAUAAAAAUCCUCUUCAAUUCUUCUCUUUACAAGAUUUAUAUAAUACAUGCCUUAAACACCAUAUAAAAGAAACAAAAUAAGACUUUAAGAAUCAUCAAUAUCUAACAAAGGUGACUUUAAAUAAGUAAAAGUUACUAUCAAUCAAAAUUAAUCUUAAAAGCCACUAUCAAAAGAAAAUAAAGUUAUAUAAAUUCUAAUAGUAAUUCUUUUAAACAACUUCUUUUCAAAGCAGUAAUCUAAUUACAUUCUACAAUCAAUUAAAAUAUAUUAAUAUGGCUCUUAUCAUGUUAUUUAAUAAAUUAUAUAUCAAACAUAUAAAUACAAUAUUUUUACAUGGUAGUCGAACCAUAAUACAACAACAACUAAGCUUUUUUUUAACAAUACCUAUCACUAUCACAGAUUGUCUAAAGAUAUUAUAUUAAAUAGAAGAACUCAAUUUAUAUCAAGAUUUUGGAGAAACCUUUUCAAGAUUUUAAAGUUGGAUAUAAAGCUUUCUUCAACUUUUCAUCUUUAAACUAAUAGGUAAACAGAACUGGUGAAUCAAGUUUUGGAACAGUACUUAAGGUAUAUCAUGAACUAUUAUCAAGAUAAUUGGACAACUCUUUUAUCAUUUGCAGAGUUUAUAUAUAAUAAUUUGAUAUAUUCUUCCGCUCAAUAAACACCAUACUUUGUCAAUUAUGGUUAUCAUCUAAGAUUUGAUAUUUUUGACUUUUCAAAAGUUGAUAAUCUUAUGGCAGAAGAUUUGAUAAAUCAUCUAUUAGAGCUAUAUGCAAUAAUAAAGGUAUAGUUAAAGGAAGCUAAAGAAUGACAAAAGAUUAAAGCAAAUGUCUAUCACAAGGAACAACCACAAUUCAACAUGAGUAACAAAGUAUGAUUAUUUUAUCGCAAUAUGAAGACUACUCAUCUUUGUGACAAGUUGAAUUAUUGUAGGCUUGGACCUUUUCCUAUUAGUGAAUAAGUCAAUCUGUUGCUUAUUAAUUAUAUCUACCAGAGUCUAUGAAGAUCCAUCUUAUAUUUCACAUAUCUCUUUUUAGGCCAUAUAAGAUAAUAAAUAUCAUGGAAAGAAGAAAAAAGCCACUUUUAUUUAUAGAAGUGGAUAAUAAUCAAGAAUUCGAGGUGGAAGAAGUCUUAAAUUUAAGGCGGCAUUGAAAUAGGUUGAAAUAUCUUAUUUAUUGGUAUAGAUAUGAUAUUAGUGAAUGGACAUUGGAGCUAGCAAAGAAUCUUACAAAUACAACAAAGAGAGUUGAAGCUUUUUAUCAAUAAUAUCUAUCAAAAUUAAGAUAAAUAAUAAUAAAUCUUUGCUAUGAAAGAAAUUAGAUCCAACAAAGACAACAUUCUACUUUCUAUUUUUUUUUUUAUAACUUCCAUGUAUUUAUGACGCUAAAGAGAUGGAAUAUCAAUAACUAGUAGAUUUAACUCAAGAGCUUUCACUUGUUGACUUACUAGAUGAGACAUUGUGAUUGUUACAACCUUCAAGACAAUAUAAUCAAGAUAAAGAUCUUCAAAAAUGACAUGUCUUUCUUCAAAUAGAUGGCAAGAUAUAAUAUUGUUAUGAUAUAAUACAACUAUUAGGUAAAAAAGAUGAAAAAAAUAUUAUAUUAUAAAAUAUCUUAUUUCAAAUAUUAUAGUAAAUUAUUUUAGGAGAUAGAAAAUAAUCCAAAAGAAAAUAAAAUUAAAGGUAUAAAUGCUAUCUUUUUACAAAGUAGGCUUCUACUUACUUUGUAAGACCAUUAAUAAGACAAAAUAAGAUAGAUUAGAAAAAUAAAAGAUAUGAGCAUAUAUAGGAGGGAGUUAGAAGUUGAUUUGAAUAAAAAUUAACUCAAAAGACAAAAUUUGAUAUUUGGAGAGGACCAGUUAUCAACUUAAGUUGAAAUCAAAUCUCGAGGCAUAAUACUGAGUACCUAUGAUAACUGUGGGGUUUUUUUUAAGACCAAAGAGCAGGAUUUGAAAAAAGACAUGAUAAAAUUUCUUUAGAUAUUGAUAUUGAAAGAUUAAAUGUGUAAAGACUUUGUAAGAGAUUUGCAAAGUUAGAGAUGUUUUGGAUAGUUCUGGAAUUUGUGAAAUAAAAAUGAUAUUACAUUUUAGAGAAUUUUAUGAAUUUGGUAGUAGAUCUAUAAUUUAAAUUUUGAAUAAUUAUGUAAAUAGUUGUCUAGAGUGUAGUAAGUUUGAGCUUGAUUGAAUGAUUGAAUUGAAGAUUAUUGAAUUUCAAGUAAGUUAAGGUCUCAAAAAUUAGAAUUUGAAGGGCAGAUAAGGAUUUCUAAGAUCUUCAACAAUCUACUAGUUGAAUUGAAGUGAAAUUUAUGUGUAAAGAUAAUAUAUUUGAUUUAUUGUAUAUGCAUGAAAUUUGAGAAUAGUUGAAGAGUUUGAAAAGGAGAUAUUGGCAUUGGAAGUUCAACAUUCAAAUUGGAAUAAGAGUCCGACCAACACUUGAGCAUAUUUUAGGAUUUUCCUUCUAUUUGAUAAGUACAAUUAUCUUCAAAUUUUAUGUACUUUUUUGCUAAUUUAGUUUUUGAGAAGUGUAUAAAUUUUUAAGUAAGAUCAAUGAUUUAAUUAAUAGAUAUUAAGGUUCUAAAUUGUGCUAGGAUUAGGUUGAGUUGGUUAGAUUUUGGUUAAGAUUUGGUUUAAGAUUAGGAUUGGAUUAGGGUUUAAGAUUUAGUUAAGAUUUGGUUAUGAUUUAGAAUUGGACUAGAAUUUAGGAUUUUUUUAGGAUUUGCUUAGGAUUUAGGAUUUAGGAUUUUAGAUUUACCUAGGAUUAGAUUAAGAUUUGCUUAGGAUUUAAGGUUGGACUAAGGUUUAAGGUUUGAUUUAGGAUUUGAUUAGAAUUUAGGAUUUUUCCUAGAAUUUGAUUGAAGUCUAUUAGGAUUUCAAUUAAGAUUAAAUUAGAAUUUGGUUGAGAUUUAUUUAAGAUAUAUUUGAGAUUAUUUUAAUAUUUUUUGAAGAUUUCUUAGAAAUUCUUUUAAGAUUUAUUAUAAAUUUCUUUUAAAAUCUUUUAAGAUUUCUUAUUAUUUUUUUUGUAAUUUCUUUAAGAUUUUUUUUUAAAUUUAUUAAAGCUUUUUUAUCAUUGUUAAGUUUUAAUUAGAAUUUAUUUAAUAUUCCAUUAGAAUUAGGAUUUUGUUGUUACAAUUUUUAUUCUACCUUUUACAGCAAUGUGCUUAGUGCAUUUUCAAGCAAGACUUCAAGUAAUAUAACAAUGUGUUUGAUAUCACAACCUUGGAAGAGACUCACAAUGUUUGGUGAUUUUAUUAAAGAUAAAAACAAUUCUUAACAGUAUUCCAAAUAUUUUAUUUCAAAGAAGUUACAAAGGCUUCAACAACAAUCAAAUGACAAGGUGGCCUUUCUUCCUUCAUAUAUGACAUUAUUAAUGGCUGAGAGAACCUAUCAACGAUCUUCAAAGAGAACAAAGAUCAAAGUAGGUGAAAAAUAUAAUUUGCUACAUCUUAGAUUUUAUCAAUACAUGAUUAUUGCUCUUUAUGGAACUCGCUGUCAAGGUAGAGAGAGUUUGCCUAAAGAAAGUGCUUGGCUUCUAGCUACCACUAAAUGCUCAAUCAAAUCUAAGAUAUAAAAGUAUCAAGUUUAUAUAUAUAUAAUAUUUUUCCUUUUAAAGCAAUUACAUCAAUACAUAAGACCAAGUACCGAAAAAACAUCCAAAUGUAUGAUAAAGUAUCUUAAAACCUUGUAUAUCUUUAUGAAAAAUAUUUCUUGAACUUCAACAACUCAUAUCUCACAAUCGGACCAUCUAAACAACCUAAAAUUUUAUAUGAAGUACUAAUAUACUUUCAAAAGAUUCCACAAAAAAAUUCAACUAUAAAUUCAUUACAGAUCUUGAGAUAUCACCAAAACCCUAAUAGUAGCUUUAAACCCUAGCUUAUAUACACCCGCAUGCUAUUUUCUUUAUAUCUCACAAAAUAAUUAUUGAAAUACCAUGAAACUUUGAUCUAUAACUUUUCAACCUAAUAGCUCAAAUUUAUGGAAAUUUUGAGCCAAAAAUUUGUCAAGAAAUUCAAGAUAUGGUUCCAACCAUUACUAUCAAUAAAAUGACUCAUUUAUUGUCUUUGAAUUACAUGUGCUAUCUUCAAUGCCCUAUAAAUCCUUCAUCUAGACUUGAAAUUUGUCAAACAGUAUAUGUAAAAUAUAGUCAAAAAAGUGUUUUCUCCAAUUCUAAUCGCCAAUCUUUCAUUGCUCUCUGUACGUAUAUGUUAUGCUUCAAAUAGUGGGAGUAGAUACAAAUUUGACACCUUAACUUUGAACAUCUAUAUUUCCUUUACAAAAAUUCGAAAUCAUACAAAUUCUUCACCCAAAUUAUAUCCAAAACCUUGAACUUGCUGAUUUUAGCCUCCAAAGUUCAAAUGCCUUGAAAAGAAAAACCCUAAUCCCUAAUAAAGCCUUAGGUAGCCUCCUUGAAGCCCAUUGGGCAUGGCCUUCGACCAAUAGGAAUGAAGAUUUCCAUUCCUUACCUUCAUCUAACUAUGUCUUACUUUCAUCCCUCCCAAUAAGCCUCCUUCUAAUUACGAAUUUCUUCUUUAAGCUCUAAUCUCCUCUCAAGGCUUCAUAUUAAACAUUUAGGUCCUAUAAUUUUUUUAAAUGCUAUAAUCAAAAUAGAUAAAAUUCAAAAUAAAGUUUUCUUUAUAUCGACUCUCUUUAAAUUAAUCUAUUAACCAUUCUAAUAUACAUCUAGAUUUAUUAACAUAUAAUAUAUUUUAAUUAAUUUUUACAUACUAUAAGCUUUUACAGUGUGAUAUUGUGCCUAGAAAUGAGGGUAAUAUCAUGGAUAUACAUACAUACUCUAAUAAAUACCUAUAUGAUUAGUAGAAGUAGAUAAAAAUAAAUAAUAGUAGAUUAAUUUCAUAAUAAUUUUUAGAGAAGCUUUUUAGAAGCUUUAUAGACAUUGUUUUGAUUUUAUAGGUAUUUUUAAUUGAUUGAUAGCUUAGAAACUUAGUCAACAAGUUAACCACGUAUUAGUAGCUUAUAGAACAAGCUAAUUAUGUAGCACAAAUAUAGAAAAUUUGCCUUGCAAGUUAAAAUAUGUGUUUUGCAAAGUCAACAUGUUUUAGAGAUUCUAUAGGACAUCGCCACAUAGCUCCUACUUAAGAAUAUAUAGAGGCAAGAAUAAAGCCUUUUUCACUCUUGUCAAUGCCUUUCUAGUCUUUAAUCUUGUUUCAAGACUUUCUAGUCUUCUUAUCUUUAGCAAUAGCCAUUUUAGUUUAAUAACUUAUCAUCUUUGAGAAAUAUGAGGCCAAAUUUCACCACUUAAUGAAACCUAUGCCACACAACAAGUUCAAGAGGUGGAAUCGGAGAGCUCCCAAUUGUAUAAUUGUUAGAUUAAUUUAAAUCUUUAUAUUAAAAAUUCAAUUAGUUUAGGCCUUCUAAGCAAUGGUUACGAAUAUUAAAUUAACAUGUUAAAUGAAAUUUACUAUGCAAACACAAUAAAAAUAAUUAACUAAAUUAUUACUAUUAAUUGACAAUAAGAAUAAAACUUAAGUUUUUUAAUCUUUUAAUCUUAAUUUUUAAUUUUAAAUUUUUUUUUGAACUUAACUUUUAACUUAACUUUUAAUUCAAACUUAAAAGUUAAAAUUAAAAGGUUAAGUUAAAAUUAAAAUUAAAAGGUUAAGUAAAAAAAUUAAAUUAAAAGUUAAGAUUAAAGAUUAAGUGAAAAGUUAAAAUUAAAAGUUUAGUUUAAAAGUUAAAGUUAAAAGUUAAAAGUUAAAGUGAGAAUAUUAAAGGCUAAAAGUUAAAAUUAAAAUUUAUUAGCCAAAAAGUGAAAUGUGGAGCUUACAAUUCACUAUGAAGAUGAUAGUAAAAAUAAAGUGAGAGAGGUGAAAGCGAAGGUACCUUUACAACACCUAAGGAUUGAAGGCAGCGACCCCCUUCUACUCCAAAAUUUUCCAAAAUUUGUAAUCGGCUUCAAUUUGAAUGAUUCUUAGCUUCUUGCAAGGCUGACUUGAAGGCGUUUUUGAUCCAACAAUCUUCGUUGCAAUCUAAUGAUCCAAUCGUGAGAAUUCCUCCUUUGAAGUUGAGUGAUCCAAACUGCUGUGGUGACUAACCCUCUUCACUUAGAAAUUCACUAAAAAUUCAGAUUGUCUUCAAAUUCACCAAAACUUAAGCCUUUCAGAGCUUAGCUUAUAAAGCUUGAUGUUCCCAAAAUUGCAAAUAAAUCCAAUCACCAGGCACUGAGAAAUGCCUUUCCAAACUUGAUUGAUUCAAACUGCAAAGGCAGUCGACUCCCUCAAAUUCAAAAAUUCACCAAAAAUUCCUUCUUACUCCAAAUCAAGAAAAUAUUAUCUUGUUGGAAAGCUAAGAACAAAAGCUACAACUUUUCAAAAUCUCACAUUGAGAAAACAGAAAUUGAGUGACUGAUUGAAGAAAAUCCGAGGCCCUUGAAAUCCUUGGGGUAUUUGGAAGGCCGAGGAGAUAUCUACCUCAAUGAAACAUAUUUUAAAACUUAAUGACCAUCCUUCACAAUGCAAAAUCAAUACAUACACAAUCACAAGGUUCAAAAUGAGAAUUAAAAUCUAAAUAAAAUUAAGAUUAGGAUUUUGGCCAAAUUUUGGCAUGGCUCCGCCCUUCACCCAAAAGAGGAGACAGAGAUAGGGCUUGGAAAACCAAGCCUCUCUUAUACAAUUGAGUGGAGGCUCGUAGAAGGGUGGCUUCAUCUCCAUCCUUGAUUUUUAAGAUCCCUAAUCUAGAUCUACGGCCUUCAUUCAUCCAAGAGCCAAUCUCGUUAUCAAGGCUGAUGGCUCUUGUAAAUGGUCAAGAAAGCAUUUUUUUUUUGUAAAUCUAAUUGUAGUAUUGUAUUCAAAGCACCUUUUUAAGCUAAGAUCGACUACUCACAUGCCUCAAUCCAUGCUCAAUUAUAAUUUUCAUGGAAGUUUUUACUUACAAGGGUCAUGGCAAUUUUUGUGAAAUUCUUCAAAAUGAGAAUUUCAUUGCUUCUCUUGUGAUUUGAAGGAGAGGUUGCUGAUCUUAUUUUCUUCACUCCAUGAGGUAAAUCCGGUGCCACCAUUGCAUUAAAAAGACUCCCAUUAAGUAGAAGAACCACCAUGCCACUUAAAUUUGUCAAAUUUGGAGGAAAAUCCAAAAUUACUAUUGCUAACUUUUCUAAAUGUUUUAGAGAAUUAUAAUUCGAACUCCUAAAUCAUGUGAAUGAUCAUAGAUGCAUUCAUAGUCUUUUAGUCAACCCUUAUAGUAAUGACUUACAACCUCUAAAUUAUUAAACUAACUAAGUUGCUAUUCUAAUUUUCUAACUCUUAUCACUUUAGUCCUAAUUAAUCUAAUUCAAGGAAUUAGACUAUAAUUUAUACCAUCAAGGGUUGUAAUCCUAAAAAUUCUAUAAAACUAAAUUCGACUUAUAUAAAUCCUAAUCUAACAUGUUUAAUUAUCAUAAAAUAGGAAAAAAAAUAAAAAAAUAAAAAAAAUAGAGUAUAAUUGAGAGCUCAUAAGUAACUUUGUAAUUCUUUUGAGUGAUAUAAGAGUAUAUUAAGGAUUUUUUUUUUAAAGAUUUUUGUUCUUGACAGUAUUAUAGCUACAGUUCUUAAUAAUGCCUCCCGAGGUAAUUUUUUCUUACAUCGUAAAAAUGAUAGAAGUCCAAAAUCUACUUAUCUUUAUAUUUUCAUCAAAGUCAUUGUCUAUCUUAGUACCAUAACUUAUAGCUUCUAUUGUUGUAAGUCCAUGUACAAGCAAAUAAUCCUUAUCUAAUACUUUUAUAUUUCCCUUACCAAAGUUGGUUUGGAGAAGUUCACUAGUAUUUUUCAAUGCCACUUUUUUGUCUUUUAAAAAAAUAAUGUCUUGUUAUAUCAUCUCAUUGAAAUCACUGCAAUCUUUUCAAGAAUGAGAAAUAUCAUCACACCAAAUAUAUCUUUGCACAUAUUCUUGUUUAGAAGUAGCCUUUUAACUUCUCUUAGAAGUCUUCUUCUUAAGCCUUGUAAAUUUGAUUUGAAGAUCUCGCAUCCCAUGUAUAAUCUCCUCAAGUUCCAUAUCUUCUUUCUUUGAUGUAGUCUUUAGAGGUUCAACAGUAGGUAUUGUUAAUUAUGAAGUAGGUACUUGAGUUUUAGAUACUUGUCCAACUCCUUGAAUCUUAAUCCUAUUCUUUUUCAGUUCUCUCUUUGUAUGUAAUUCUACAACAUCUUCAACUUCUUUUUAUUUUAUUGUCAACCCUUCAUCUUCUUCUUUAUCCUCAAGAAGAAUUUCUAACUUUUCUUAAAAUUCUCCAUUAGCUAUUCAAAGAAGCAAUUCAACCUUCUUUGGCUCCAUAUUUAAUUUUUCCAUCUUUGAUAAUCAAAAAUAUUACCUAUCAAAUUCUCUCAAUAGCUUUGUAGCUUGCAAAUUUUUGUUAGGUUGUUCAAUCCAUUCCAAAAAUAAUUUCUUAAUAAUCCAAAUAGUAUCCUCUAAAAAUAUUUCUCCUCUAAUGCAUGUGAAAAUGUCUCCCAUGAAUCUCCAAAAUACUCUAUAAUUAAUUUAACAUGUUGUCUUAUCUCCGGUAUUAUAGCAAGUAAAAAUAGCUCAAUCAUCUUCUUUUUGAAAAUCCAAUUCAAUUCCAUUUUCCAUAAAAACAUCUCAAAUACUUUCAAAUAUCUCUUCUAUCAAAUUACUCAAUUUUGAUAAUCACUGCUUGCAAUGCUUUAAUUGCCAAAGCCUCUUUGAGAUCAUUGCUCUAUUGCUAUUGUAUAAAUAAUAUAAAUGCUUAAAACAUUUUUUAAUAUUUGAAUCAAAAUACAUACCUUGUCCAUUAGUAGAAAAUCCACUUAAAGCUCCACUUGAAGGUCCACUUGAAAUUCUAUCCAAAGCUCCAUCAAAAACUAUAAAUUCAACCUUCUUGCCUUCUUGUUCCAUCAAUUCCAAAUAAACAUAAAUACAAUCCAAUACCUUCUACCUCAAACUUUCAUAUCAGAUUCACUAUUUAUUUCAUAUUACGUGUUAUCUUAUUUGAGAAUGCACCAGGCACAUGGCUAUGAAAAUUGAAGUUGUGCUUUACAAAUAUCCAAGAAAUCGUAAUAGGUUUCAUCCAUAUAAGAAGAAUGCAAUUCAAAUUUUAAUUCAAAAGUGCUUAAAGUCAGUACAAAGUACUUCAAAACACUCUUUUUAAUAACCUCAACCAUACAUAAACUCUAAUUAUCUUAUUACUUUCAUAAUUAUGAAAUUUUAAAUUCUCCUUAUAAGCGCUAAUCUUAGCCACUGAGUUUUGGUGAAUUAUAAUUCUUAAUUUGAUCAUCCACUUGAUGCAAAAUUUUGUAUACAAAUGCCACUAUAAGCCUUCUAUAUAUUUAAAAAAAUUCAAUUUAAUCUAACUUAUAGAUUGUGAGAAAAAGCCCAAAAACCACACUAAUGUCACUUAGCCACCAACUUGAAAGUUGAUGCAAAUGUUUCAAUAGCAAUUUCUCCUUCUUCAAUUAUUAACUCCAAUUCAAAAUCGGCAUGUAGUUUGAUAUUGAAGUCUUCUAACACCAUGCUAAAUUUCACCUUGAUCCAACUAAUAGAUCUUUAGAUUUCAUAGAAAUCCUAUUCAAUCCCAAACUGCCAACUUUUAAUACCUUCUUCUACUAAAAUCCAAAUAUUUGCCAAUUGCACCAUUAGAUUAAUACAAAAUUUUACACACUUAGUACACCUAAUCAAUCAAAUACUAUCAAAUCUUGAAUUUAGAUGUGACACCAAUUGCAAAAACUAGCCAAGAGUGCUAGCAUUAAUUGUAUUGCAUAAAUCCCAAAUCACUGAUACAAACCCUGAUUUUGAACAAUAAUUACAAAAUCAUUCCAAAUCCUCUGAAAACAAGCCUUACAACUUUGGAAUCAACUUAAAGCUAGCUCACAAAUCCUAAUUGUUAAUCUUCAAAUGUCCUCCUACUUUGCCCUAGGCGAUCGUUUUAGUGGCUAAAGAUCUAUUUUUGACUCUCUUCCACAAAUUGUCGACCCUCAAGUAUUAAUCUAACCUAUCCUAAAGAGUUUUUAGCCUAAUCUUGCCAUCAGCUUAACCCUAGUAACAACCAUGCUAAUUAUUCACCUAUUUUAAUUUGAUUUUACUAAUUUAUGGCCUUUCUAAGGCAAAAAAGAGUUUCUAUAGCUUAGAAGGUAAAAUUAUUAACCAACUCUUAAUCUUCUAGCUAUUAAGUCAAGAAAAAAAACUAAGAAGCGUUUAUAAAAACCAUGUUUAAAUAUCUUGAAUUAUUAUUGAACCAAGAUGAUUAAAUAUUAAUUAGAAAUUUGUUUUUGAUUAUAUGGCAGGUGGGGGGGGGUGAGCGCUAGGCUGAUGGAGAUGAGAGAGAGAGACUCCAUGAAUAAUGUCCCCUUUCCUUUGAAUCCUCGUCACCAGUCGCACCAUUCCCUGCCCAGAGCCGUUGCGUGCCGCCUUUCCACCUCCGCCGCUGCCUCUAUACCUCUCCACUCUCACUCCGCUGCUCGGGGCUUUUCUCAUUGCCCGUGGUGCUACUGCUCCUAUUGCUGCUACUGUCGCUUCAGUCGAUGCUGCCCUUCUGUGUGGGCGCUGCAAGUCUUUAUUGUUCGUAUGGGCUUCCUUUUCUGAGGUGAGUGUGGGUCUGGGCCCGAGGCAUUGGAUUUGUAUUUUCUUUUUCAGUGUAGCGGGCGUUCAAGCUUUGUAUUGAGAAUGACUGAAAGAAUGCUGUAUGUCGUGGCGGCCUGGCAUUUGAAGAAAUGGGUACGGUGGCUACCAAUCCGAGGUGGCCUAGAGUAUCUUGUUCGUCUUUUCUAGAAUGGUUGUUGAACUUCUCAAUGACUACGGCUCUUGUUCAGGUCUUUUUGGGAUGGACUCGCGGUAGGUCCUUCGUGUGAUACUACCUUCUGCUGUCGAUGGUUGCAAUUGUAGCGGUCUUUGUCUUCUCGCUGUUUGAACCUUCUGGAAAUUACAUAUCUGUAGAACGAAAAUAUCGUUAUCAGGUCUACCAAGCUCUGUACCGAUUCGUAACAACGUCUUCGUGAUUUCAUUCUGCUGGUACAGAUCUCUGGUUUCCGUAGUUCAACCUCCGAUCCUGAGCGUGCAGUUGUUGUGUAUCGUUGUUUGUAGAUCAGAACCCUCAUUAGAUGGAUCCUGGUAGCGCAACCUCCUUCAUGGACAUCCACUAUCAGAAGCAGUACAGUGUAGUUCAUGAAACAGUUGAGCAGUUCAAGGUUGUGGGCUCAUACCCUACAGAGGAGGAGGCAUUAACCGCUGCGCUGGACUGCCAGAUCGACGUCUUCAAAACUAUUAAAGCUCAAGUUCUAGUACAAGUGAGACAAUCAUUCCCUGAGAAGCCUUUGGCAUGGCAACUUCGAAUGCUCCAAGAUGCAAUGGAAUCGUAUUUCCUUGAUGUAGGGUUUGAAUCUUUGUCGGGCUACUUCACGGUCACGGAUCAGCCUAUCACGGACGUUGCUCCGAAGAAGAGGAAGAUGGCGACCACGCCAAGAUGCGAGUCGAAGCUGGCGAAGUCUAAUACCAGAUGUGGCAUCGCAAGCACUACCGCAUUGAAAACCAUGUCUAGAUAUAUGCACCAGACCUCGCCAUUCGGUAUGUCCUAAGAGUAUAAUCUAAGUGGCAAUGUGAAUCUAGAUCUGGUCUAUUCUUUUCGUGAAGAAGUUUUCUGGACAUGGAAGGCAAGUCUUCCUGGCUCCUGCCCAAGUCGACGAUAGAGACAGUUGCAGAGUAGCUGUGUUUCUUUUAUUUUGUUUGGGAUUCGGACCUCCGAGAAUGUGUAUCUGAUCCAGCUUAUCGACAGCACAUGAGGUGCCGUGUAGUAAGCUCUAAAUUUUUUAGAAGUUACGGAAUUAACUCCAGAGUAAUGAGAUUAAUCUUACUUCCACCCGGUUUCACUCUCUGUGUCUUGCAUACCCUGGAAAUGGCCGUUUUGGUUCAUACUCGGAUGCAGGAGAAGCACUGAGUUUUGAGUGAAUCUGCCUAACUCUCGACUAUGCAUUACAUAAAUUUACAAGUUCCAUACCUCUCACCCCUUAUUGAAACGAAGCUGCAUGUCUCACCAGCUUGUCCAGUUCGAUGAAGUAGGUUUACCUGGGGGAGGAUACCCACCAGCGUGUCUUUUCAUCAGCACAUUGUCUUCAGAGGGAAGUACAAGGCCAAAUUGAUCCUUUACAGGGAGUACGAUUGGAGCAGUGGCAGUCGUAAUGAGUUCCACAAGUUUCCGAGUUUGUCGAGAGGAAACAGAGCAGUUUCAGAGUUUGGAAUUCCGAAGCUCAUUAAACUCUAAAUCCUAAAUCUCACUUAUGUAAUAAUUACAUCAUUGUGUCAUUACUAUAAUGUUUCGAUGUAUACAGCCAUCGAUGCCUUUGUGUUGAGGCGAUUCCCAGAUGCAGAACUAGUGGAUAGAGCCUUUUCCUCGUAAUCGCAAUGUUGUACAGAUUGUCUUCUGUCCAAUUCUCUCAAAGGAAUACAGAUUCCGCAUAAACAAUGUGGUAUCUGGAGAGUAUCGCUUUGGUUACUCCAAGCUUUAACGGACAAUAACAGCAUAACGGUUGCACUGUUAAAAUUAUGAAGUAUUGAGAGACUGGUACGGACAUCGUUUUGACUCACGCUUGAGAAAAGCAGUAUUGUGAUUUUCGCACCUUGGGGUGGAAUAAUCGCGCUUUAAAAGAGCAACAUUGUGAUUUUUACAAACUCGUAGUUCCCUUUUCUCUCCCUUUAAGUUCACCCAAUGCAGCUGGCAUGUCGCCGAUUGGCAACAGGAAAUAUGUAAGAUUAUACCAAUAUCGCUUCAAGAGAUUGGUCAGGUGUGCACAUUUGCACUCUGGACUUCGUGAGUUGUGUAAAACUUUGUUGUAAAAGGGUCGUGCUGUAUGCGUUCUAUGAAGUUUUAUGUUCCAGCACAAAUGUCGCUUUGUUUUUAAGUCAAAUAUAUUGUUACUGUGAAUUGAUUAUCGUCUUCUAUUGCUAAUUAGGUUCUUCCAACUGCAGUAUUAUAAUUGUCUAAAGCAAUGAACUAUUUUGUAAAGCAUUGUUAACAUAUAAUUCGAAGAUUAAAACAUCAAAUCGCAGUUGGCAUAGAAUUCGGGUAAGACUAGUGCAUAUAGUUUGUUGUAUAGAAAAAUGGGGAACUUUUAUAAAAUUCAAUUACUCUUUUAAUAAAAUUGUGGAUAGUUGAUGACACAUGAUCUACUUCUCUAAUAGUAAAUUAAUUGAUUAUUAUUAAUUUUCCAACCUUUCAUGAAUAAAUUGUGUAAAAAAGAUCAAAUAGUAAUGUUAUUUAAUAAGUUUAAAUAGCUUUAUUGGAACAUUGCAAAAGAAUCAGAGUAUUUAUCUUAGUUAAUUUUUUUUUUUUGCUUUGUCUUCAUUGCUUCUUUUGAUGCCCCUUCGUGUAGUGGUAUUGAUAGAAGAAAGAGGAUCUAUUUUUUUUGUAGAUGUCAUGGAACAUGUAGUAUUUUGGAGUAAUAAAAAAAAUAUCUAUGAACUUAUACUAAUUGAUUUAUGAUAUAUCUAAUGCAUAAUUUAUAUUACAGAAGAACAUAUAAAGCAAUACAACUCAUAUCUUUAUAUCUUUACAAGUGGAUAUAGGAGUAAUUUGAAAACCUAAAAAAUUACAACUAGCCUAAGUUAGUUUUUUAGUAUUUUAUUUUAUGCAUAUUAAUGAAUUUGUGAUCAAAUUUUGAUUAUUAUUGAAUUUGUAAGAGCUAUACAAAGUCAAAGAUAUUUUAGAUGAUUUGGAAUUUUGAGAAUUAAAAAAAUAAUUAAAUUUUUUUAUUUUAAUUAUUAGUAUAGUUUUUUUGAACUUAAAUAAUUUUUUAAUUGGAUUAAAAUUGGAUUUUAUAUAAAAAAAACUUUUAAUUUGAUUUUAUAUAAAAAAAUGGUAAAUUUUAUUUUAUAUAAAAAAUUUAUAUACUUAUUGUUAAAUUAUAGAUUAAAAUGUGUAAAAUCUUUUAAGAAAGAUCAACGGUUUAAUUAACAAUUAUUGAAGUUUGAAACUACUGCAAAGAUUGAUUAGUAUUGGUUAGGAUUCAAAUAAGGCUUUAUUAGGAUUUUUAAGGUUUGUAAGAUUUUCUUAGGAUUUUAUUAGAGUUUGCUUAGGAUUUUAAUAAGAUUUAUAUAGGAUUUUCUUAAGAAUUUCUUUGAAACUUUUUAAGGAUUUUUUUAAAAAUGAUUUUCUAAAGAUUAUUUAUAAUUUCUAUAGAGAUUCUUUAUGAUUUAUUUAUGAUUCUUUUUAGGAUUUUUUUAAGAUUCCUUUGAGAUUUAUUGAUUAUUUGAUUAAGAUUACUAAGACUUAAUUAGAAUUUAUUUGAGAUUUUAUUAAGAUUAUUAUGCUCUUUGUUAAUUAUAAAAUUUAAGUUUAUCUAUUAUAGCCAAGUACAUAAUACAAUACUAGAGACACCUAUGUAAUCUUAAACUCCUAAACUUCUAAACUCCAAACUAUAAAUAUAAAAUUAAAAAAAACCAUAAUCAUCUAUGUAAUUCUAAAUUAAAAACCUUAAACCUUAAUUUCAAUAACUACAUAUAAAUUAUUAUUGUUAUAAAAAAUAUACUAAACAAUCUAUUGUAAUUGAAUCUAAUAUUUAUUUAGACUCCAAUUUAUUGACUUUUUGCUUAAUAAAUUUAUUUUCAUUUAUAAAUUAUUUUAAAUCAUAAUAAAUACUUUGAUCAUUAAAUAAAAUUUAUAAUAUUAGUAUAUUUAUAUUUGGACAAUAUUAAAAGUUUGCUUUCAAUAAUUUCACCAAUUAAGAUGUAUUAGUAGGAUUUAUAAUAUAUCAAGUAAAAAUUACACAAUAAAGAUGUCAAAAAAUUAAUCACAUUUAUAUAACUAUAUACUAUUAUAUUAUAUAUAUAUAUAUAUAUAUAUAUAUAUAUCUUUUCAAGACUUGAUUCUAUAUUUUUUAAUAAUUUAUUAAUAUAUUAUCUAUUAAUUAUUAACUAAUUUUGAAAGAUAUCUUUUUAAAAUUUGAUUGACUAUUUCUUUUGAUGAUGAUGUCAAACUUGAGCACCCUCUUGUAUCAAAGGUAGUCAAAGAUGUGAUGUUGUCCAAUUCAUUUGGCAAUGAUAUCAAGCUUGAAUACCUUCCUAUAUCGAAGGUAGUCAAAGAUGAGAGGUUGCCCAAUUCAUUUGGCAAUGAUGUCAAGCUUGAGCAAUAGCUAAUAUCAAAGGUAGUCAAAGAUGUGAGGUUGCCCAAUUCAUUUGGCAAUGAUGUCAAGCUUGAGUAUUUACUUAUAUUCAAGGUAGUCAAAGAUGUGAGGUUAUCCAAUUCAUUUGGCAAUGAUGUCAAGCUUGAGCAUUCACUCAUACUCAAGGUAGUCAAAGAUGUGAGGUUGCCUAAUUCAUUUGGCAAUGAUGUCAAGCUUGAGCAUUCACUUAUAUUCAAAGUAGUUAAAGAUGUGAGGUUGCCUAAUUCAUUUGGCAAUAAUGUCAAAUUUGAGCAUAUACUUAUAUUCAAAGUAGUCAAAGAUGUGAGGUUGCCCAAUUCAUUUGGCAAUGAUAUCAAACUUGAGCACUUGCUGAUAUCAAAGAUAGUCAAGGAUAUGAAGUUGCCUAAUUCAUUUGGCAAUGAUGUCAAGCUUGAACAUUUACUUAUAUUCAAGGUAGUCAAAGAUGUAAGGUUUCCCAAUUCAUUUGGCAAUGAUAUCAAACUUGAGCAUUCACUUAUAUUGAAAGUAGUCAAAGAUGUGAGGUUGCCCAAUUCAUUUGGCAAUAAUAUCAAAUUUGAGCAUACACUUAUAUUCAAAGUAGUCAAAGAUGUGAGGUUGCCUAAUUCAUUUGACAAUGAUAUCAAGCUUGAGCACUUGUUGAUAUCAAAGAUAGUCAAGGAUAUAAGGUUGCUCAAUCCAUUUGGCAAUGAUGACAAGCUUGAGUAUUUGUUUAUUUUUAAAGUAGUCAAAUUUGUGAAGUUGUAUAAUUCCUUUGACAAUGAUUUUAAGCUUUGGUAAUCACUUAUAUUCAAAGUUGUUAAAGAUGUGAGGUUGCCCAAUUCAUUUGGCAAUGAUGUCAAGCUUGAGCAUUCACUUAUAUUCAAGGUAGUCAAAGAUGUGAGGUUGUCUAAUUCAUUUGGCAAUAAUGUCAAGUUUGAGCAUCCUCUUGUAUCAAAGGUAGUCAUAGAUGUGAGGUUGUCCAAUUCAUCUGGCAAUGAUGUCAAGCUUGAGCACCCUCCUAUAUCAAAGGUAGUCAAAGAUGAAAGGUUACUCAAUUCAUUUGGUAAUGAUGUCAAGCUUGAGCACCGUCUUGUAUCAAAGGUAAUCAAAGAUGUGAGGUUGCCCAAUUCAUUUGAUAAUGAUGUCAAGCUUGAGUACAACCUGAUAUCAAAGGUAGUCAAAGAUGUGAGGUUGCCCAAUUCAUUUGAUAAUGAUGUCAAGCUUGAACACCCUUCUAUGUCAAAGGUAGUCAAAGAUAUGAGAUUGUCCAAUUCAUUUGGCAAUGAUGUCAAGCUUAAGCACCCUUCAAUAUUAAGGUUUUUUAAAGCAUGAAGACUUCUUAUUGAUGUUGGUAAUAAUCUUAAACUAUUGCAGUAUUUUAAAUUAAGUAUCUUCAAAGAAGUCAUAUAUUCCAAUUCAUUUGGUAGCAUGAUUAAGUUUGAGCAUCCUUCUAAGUCAAGUUCCAAUAAUGUAGGAAUUCUAAAAAAUAAAUUUGGAAAUUUCUCUAUAAAAGAAUAAUUACUUAAUUAAAAGAUAUUUAAACUUUGAAGUUUUGUCCAAACAUCUUUGUCAUGUAUCAUUUGCAAUGCUUUGUCUACUAAUUCUUCAUUUAAUUCGUAUUCCCCUGACAUGUUUAGUAAAAAAUAUUUUAAACUAAGAGAAUGUUUUAUCAAUACAAAGAAGAUGCUUAAUAUCUUUACGACAAUUUUGGGAGUAGAAACACCAACAUUAUAACUCAAAAAUCGAAGUAAUGAAAAAGAAGCACUGCUUAUUUUAUUUAUAUUAUUAUUGUCUAAAUUAUUGUAAUAUAAUCCUUCCAAUUGUAAAUCAACACAAUCAAAUAUAAGUUUCAAUUAGAAUUCCUACAAUAGUAAUGCACUCAAUGUACAUACAAAUCUAAUUACAAUACAAGAUUGAUUUUUCUUUAAUAUAACUUUACAUCAACAUGUAUCUUAAAAACAUAAUAAAUAUUAUAUAAUACAUAUAACUAAAUAAAAAAUCUAACCCUUACAUAAUGUUUCUUUUAUAUUAUCAUUAGUUUUUCACAUGCCAUUUAGCUAAAAGUUGAGUAAAAUUACCUUAAUUGCUGAUCUAUGAAAUGAAUCUACAUUUAAAUUCUAUAUGCUUGUGUAUUUAUACUCCAUCUCUUUUUUAACAAUACUUUUAUCCAUGUCUUGUAGUUGAUCAUGUAUUCUUAUAAUUCCAUCUUUGUCUACUUUUACCAAUGAUUGAUUAAUCAAUAUAUCUAACAUAAAUUCUACAUCUUGUUCAAAGAUAUUUUUUUGACUAUUGGUCCAUAUUUCCAAUGCUCUUUCUUUUGACAUACCUUGUGGACAAAUAUCCUUAUAGAAAAAACAACAUAUGUCCAAAAACAUAUUCUUCUCUUUAACUUUCAAAUUGUCAAAGUUGACUCUUAAUAUCUUCCAAAUCUUGUAGUUACUAUUGUUUUCAUCUCCAUCCAACUCUCUUCCCUUUCUUAACUUUUGUAACACUCGCUUCCAACAUCUUAAUCUCUUGUUCUCUCUUAAAAAUGCUCCGAUAACUUUCAAACUCAAUGGUAGGCCAUUGCAAGCUCUUACAAUUUUUAUGGCUAUCUCAUUAAGUUCAUUGGAGAAAUUUUCAUGGCCACAAGAAUAUGUAAUAAACAACUUCAUACUUGCUCCUUCAUCAAGUUCUUCAAUAUUUAUUUUACAAACUUCUUUACCAUAAUGCCUUAUUGCUUUUGAAUUUUGAAUUGUUGCAAUCAAUGUGCUACCAUUGCUAGCAAAUAUGUCAUCCAUAGGCACAACAUCUUCAAUUUGAUUCUAAUUCUUCACAUUAUCAAAGACCAAGAUGGUUUUGUUCUCCUCUAAGAAUGAUUUCAACAUUUUUUGAGCUUCUUUUACAUCCUUUGGUUUUGAUUUUACUUUGAAUUGUUCUAAAAUAUUGCAAGAAGUUGUAUAGCAAUCACCACCACUUUCAAUACACUCAACAAAGCAUGAGGCAUUGUAAAUGUCUUUUAAACUAGUUAAUAUAGCCUUAGCUAUUGUAGUCUUGUCUAUUCCACCUAUUCCAACAAGAUACAAUGCCUUCACUUUAAUUGCACAUUGUUCUUUUAUUUGUAACAAAUAUUGUGCUCUACCAAAAAUUUCUUCCUCAAAUAUAUCAACCUGCAAUUAGAAAAUUCAUAAAAAAAAUCAACAAUAAAAUCAAAAUGAUACUUAUACUACAUAUCAACCUAGUCUUACUAACUUGAGUUUGUAGUAAGACAUGUAAACAUUAUUAUGGCAUAGAAGAGUGAACAAGUUUAAAAUACCAUCAAUAUAAUCAAUUCUAUACAUAAUCUCUAUGGUUAUUUGUACAAGUCUUACAAAUGGCAAUCCAAUAUGUAUUUGUUGAAAUUCUAUAUUUUGAUGAUAGUUGUUUUUUGCUGCUUCAAACUUUGGAGCAUUUGCUAUACCAAUUCCAACUAAAUACUUUUUCUUUAGUAACUUCAAUCUUUCACAAAUAUUUGCAAACUUUGGCCGAUGCAAAGGAUUCAACCUCCAACAUUCUUGGAUAAGCUCAAUCAAGUCAUCACAAUUUGAAGGUAAGUUUGGUCUUUCACCUUUUUCAAUUCUUUCUAAUAUCUCUUUCAUGUCACAAAUAUCAUGAAAUGGAUCUUUUUUGGAAAGAAUCUUAGAACAUAUCAUUGCAAAUGAAUAAACAUCAGCUUUAAAAUGACAUAUUGCCAUUAUUUGAAAUUUAUUUCUCAUUGCCUUUGGAGCCAUAUAAUUAAGACUACCAUAAAUGUAAUUUUUCUCUAUGGCUUUUGGAUUUCUUCCAACUUCAAUCUUAGACAUUCCAAAAUCAAUCACUUUUACAAUAGCAUGCUGAGUGAUCUUAUUCAUAACCAUUGUCUCCACAAUGUCAACCAAAAUAUUCUCAGGUUUUAGACCUCAAUGUGCAAUAUGCAUGUCAUGCAAGUAACACAUCUCUUUUGCAAUUUGAUGCAUAAUGUCAAUAAGAAAAAUAUAAGAUACCUCUUUUUCUACUUCCAACAUAUUGCUCAAAUUGUUUUGCAUCAACUCCAUUUCAAUAUACAAAUACUCUUUUUUGUCUUUUGUUACAAUAGAUUCAAUGCUUUCAUUGGCACUACCUUUCAUUGCAAAAUAAUAUAUUAUCAAGUUAGGAUGGCUUAAACUUCUUAAAAUGCUUACUUCUUUGAUGAACAUUUUAUCAAGUUCAACAUCUAUCUUUUUAGUUGCACACACAAGUCCCAACCACUUUAAUUUAUAAACUUCACCACAACUUCCUUUCUUUAUGCAUUUUGAAAUUGUAAGACUCUUCAUGUUGACAACAAUUUCAAAUUACCUAACUCUCCACCUUCUAUGCAAAGCAAGUCUUCAAAUCUUUGUAGUAGAUGCUUUACUAAUCCAUAAUAUUCAAAGUCUUCUUUUCCAUUUACAUGGAUCAACUUCUUCCAUAAAACUCGACAUCCUCUUCUACUUCAUCAUGUGUUGCAACAUUAAAAGUGCAUGUAUUCUUUUCAACUUUGUUGGGAUAGUGCUUCAAAACCACAUCACUUAGAAAAUAAGAUUUGUUUAAAAUGAAAAAUAACUCACUCAAUAAAGGUCCAAAUUCCAAUCCAUCAUUAAUGCAAGUCAUUAGGUGGUCAAAAACCAUUAUGACAUGUUCAAUUUUCUUGCACAAAUUAGCACAUUGAUUUCCAUUCAAGAAGUUAUUUUUCUUCAAUAUCCACUCAAACAUGGAGAAGCACCACCAUGUUCUCAGACAUGGAGGUACUCAAUUGCAACAUGCUGUGAUUGUGAGUUUAACACACGCUACUUCCUAUUCGAGAUAGGAACAAAAGACCUGAAACCAUCAAUCGAAUCAUCAGAAGCUACACAACUCAUAACAACUCAGAAUUUACUCAUGAUAGAUACUUCACUUAACGCCAGUGCCCGAAUUUCUAAUCCAAGUAGCAAAGUUCCUGGUAAGCUGAUCAUGAUUUGUAAGGGCAAUAAGUACUAAAAUGGAAACAGUUAAGGACAGAAUUAUAAACUGAGAUCACAGCUUUGUAUGCUGUAGAGAUAUGGCAAUUUUUUAGGUGGCGCCACUCGAAGCCUCCCAGAACUAGAAGAAACUCUCAUUUCAUGCCCAACAUUUUGAAUUGUGUAUCAGCACUUGGACAAACAGAUACCUCAGUAUACCUCAAGCACAGAAAGAAGAAAUGAAAAGAAAAGAACACACUUCAGACAUCAGAAAACGGAUGCAUUGCUGUGAAUUAAUUGAGGCACACUACCAAUCUCCUCACAAGCUUAACGUUUCACAUAUGAUGUCACACUUCAAUGAGCUCUGAAAGAAAACCCCCCAAUUAUGGCGCUUCUAGGAAAGAGAGUAAGCAACAUAACUAGUGGGUCGCUAGCCACUAAGCCUUGUACAAUUCGCUCCUCCAUCGCAAAAAAUGUACGCGAGCUUUUUCCACGAUUUUAAAGAAGAACCAAAGCCUGCAAAACUUGCACGGUCGAACUCACCAGAGAAGGGGUUGAUAAACUAGCCACUCGCCAAAACAUUUCCCUCUUUUCACAGAGCCUUCAAUCUCGAUUUGAUUCUUCCUUCCCUUGAUGUCACUAACAGACAAGAGCUCUAAUGUUGUCAACGGAAACACCAACCAAAAAUAAAUUGAGGGUCUCUGGUGAUCUUCUCUCGAACCUUCUGAUUAUCCCCAGGAGACCUGCUGCUGAGAACACUUCGUGUACUCUACGUCCAACCCAACAGAGACCCUAUUCCCACACACCAAUCCUGCAACCCCGAGUUCUAAAUCUCUGAUCCCUCGCUACUUCCUGAGACAGAACGGUAAAAAAAUCCACUCAACAGAACUGCUGGCGCCGUGACAUCCCUCAUACGAUCUCAAGGCCAGAAUCUGUCCCGACACUCUACGUGUCCGCCUCUCCGUAGACCCAAUUGCAUCACCUUCAUCCCCUUCCCACCACUAUUUCACCUACACCACAAAAUCCGGCCGAAAAACCUAACCGCUCAAGAGAAUGCAACCCCCAAGCACCUGCUCUCGUUACUACGUGUAUCAGAAACCUCAAUAGUCUAUCGCCAUCGUGGGCCGUCGGAUCGCUGCUACUACUCAGAUGCAAUCUCAACCGCUGAUCAGAAUUCUAGGAAUGGAGGGAGGGAACAUUGGGGAACCAGGGGGGGGCGGGCAGGUUGGACGGCAGGUUGGGAACUCAAAAGCCAUUCCUCAUUGGGCCCACAUUGUUCCACAUUGUAUGCCACAAGCUUGCAAUAUUGUCUAGCAGCAAUUGGAGGUAUGUACGCCAAACUUGCAAUAUUGUCUAGCAGCAAAGUUACUCGAGAAACUGGAUGCCGAAAACCGAGACAGUUCAGAACUAAAUAGAGGCAACGUCACUGAGUUAAAGUCACACUUUCUGUGGGUAGCAUCUGGAGAUCUUCCCUUAAGUCCACGUGGAGUGUUGCUCGGAAGCCGAGCCGGAAGACAGGGAAUUGGAACAGCGCGAUUUGUCGAUCGUCAUGGAACUCAUGUACAAGAGUUUGUACGCAUUGCUGCAUAGAGACUUGAGGAAACCCCCGUUCUCUAUUGGACAAGCCGUCGACCUCAUGCUGGAAAUCGCCGAAGAUUUGAGGUACCUCCACAGCAGAAACUUGAUUCAUCGUGGCCUCAAGUCAUUGAACAUUCUAGUCCAAUUCACCGAAAAGGAUAGAGCGAAAAUUGCUGAAAUUGCUGAAAUUGCUGAAAAAUGCUAAAUCACCGAAACGACUCAGUUCGUUGCCAAAAUUGCUGACUUUGGGCUGUCGAAGGUGAAAAAUGCAAGCACUAUGAGGGGCCAUUUGACACCGAAAUUGGGCAUCACAAAUGGAUGGCUCCGGAGACUCCAGAUUCGACUUCGUUGGAUGGAGCACCGUCGGAUCGCUUCCACCCAAAGAAACUUGAUGUGUACAGCUUCGCCAUCGUCUGCUACGAAAUUCUCACUGGAGACGAACCAUUCGCAGAUGUGCUCAAGACGGAGGUCCUCGCUCGCGUCAAGGCUGGGUUGCGGCCGAAUCUGCCAGACGAAAUCCCUGGACGACUGGCCGUCCUUAUCCAAGAAUGCUGGAACGAGGACCUUUUGCUACGCCCGGACUUCGCUGCAAUCUGCACGGAGCUCAGAUUCAUCAAAGGCCUUCUCUUGCAAGGUAUUUUCACUCAUUUGCCUCGCUUCUAGCUCUAAAGUAACUACACGUAUUUCUAACACUUAAAGAAUUGAGUAUGUUUCUUAUUGCCAGAGCAGCUAAAAGAAAUCUUGUCAGCAAUUACAAGGAGAUGCUAGUGUAACUCAGCAUGCACUAUUAGUUUGCCAUUCCCUUCCAAGAGGUGGAGUAGACGGGGUAAUUCUCUCAAGCCUAGACAAAAUCUUUUGAAUAAAAAGUUAAACAAACUAACAAGUCAAUCCAAUCGCAUAUCUAUUACAUCUAUUAGAGUCUAUGAAAAUCCAUCUUAUAUUUCAUGUCGCUCUUUUAGAGCCAUAUAAGACAAUGAAUAUCUUUAGAAGAAGAUAAAUACUACCUCUUCCUAUAGAAGUUGAUAAUAAUCAAGAAUUCAAGGUAGAACAAGUUUUAGACUCAAGACAGCGUUGACAUAGGUUAGAAUAUCUUAUUUAUUGGCACAAAUAUAAUAUUUGUGAACGAGGCGAAAUCGGAAAAAAAUAUCCUUUCAUCGGGCUCCAUGUGAACUUAGAUAAAACUGAACCCCGUGGUGGCAUGGAAAACACGGCAACUUAUUCCUAAAGUUGUCUAGGGCGGUUUUGCUUGGGAGAGGUGGGAUCUAAGAACCUGAUUGGAACAAGACUUAGUCUUGGCCCUAUCUUGGAUACUCUUUCCUUGGGUAAUGUUCUCCUCUGCAUUCUCCGUUGUUUCCCCCUUGAUAUCAUUGUCAUCUUUUUGUGUAAUUUAUCUACUAAUUAAGAAUGUUCAAAUAGUCGUCUUCAUACGUAGUAGCUACACGUAUCCCUUGCGUUUAUUUUUUAAACCUAGGUGGAAAAAGAUGUUGAGUAUGGUUUCUAAAUUUUUUUAUGUUUUUGUUCUUUUUUUAUCUUUUUUUUUUUUUUUUUUUUUAAAUAACAAUGGAUGAAAGAGUAAACUACUUAGCUUCAUGUUCAAUAAUGGAUUUUUUGAGUGCAAUAUUUGUGGGAAUAAUCGGAAUGUAAUUUACAAGGCCCACACAAGAAUCAAGUGUCACAAAUACUUCAAAACUUCUUACCAAUGGAUGGAUCAUUGUGUGAAAAAACAUAAAAGAAAAGUAUACGAAUAUUUAAAAUGUUGUUUAUGCAUACAUAAUCUGAUUUGAACAUGUGUUGUUUGAUAUUAAAAAUAAUAUAGCAUAAAUAUGAUUAUUUUGAUGUCUUUUGAAAAGUUAACAUUACUUGAUGCUUAAAAAUAUUUUCGUAUAUUAUUUUUAUAAUUUUAAUUUAAUUAAAGAUAAUAAUAUGUAUUUAUUAUAUUAUAAAAUUAAUUAAAUAUUUCAAAUAUAAAAAAUAGAUUAAAUAUUUAAUCUUGUAUAUAAUCUAUAUUAAAGAAAAUCUACAAUCUUAAAAAUUACAUCAAAUUUCUAAAAUUUUCAAAUACUUUUGUAGUCUUGGCAUUUAAAAUUUUAUAUUUUUUUAUUGCGUUCACACCAAGCUAGAUGAAAGGAUUUUUUUCCACUAUUGUAUGGGUGUAAGCCAUUGUUUAGGGCAUAUUGAUGUAAAUUGACUACAUAUUGAUAUGAGUUGAAAAAAUAUGUUCCAGUUAUAGCCAAUAAAUAAAAAAAAUGUAUUCAAAUUAGUUAUAUAUAUAUAUAUAUAUAUAUAUAUAUAUAUAAUUUACUAAUAAUAAUUUAGCAAUCUUAUGUAACACACUUACUUGUUUCUUUAUAGUACAAAACAUAUAUAAUGCAAAUAAGUUUUACAAAACAUAUCAACUUAAAAAUACAAUAUAUGACACUUUAUUAGCAGCUUUCUUAGCAAAUUAAUGAUGGAUUUUAGAUUGUCAAUAAAACAUAAUUAUAUAAGUUGAAUAUAAUUCUUUUGAAACUCAAUUCAAAUUUAAAAUUUAAAUAAAUAAAAAAUUAAAUAUAAAGAAUUAAAAUGACAUUCAGAUCUCAUUGAUUAUAUUAUAUUAAAAUAUUAAGUCAUUUUAUCUAAAAUAAUUAAAAAAGCUACAAAUACAUCAAACAUAUUUUAAUAAACAACAAACUAUUCAAGUAAAAAUGAUGACUUUGCAACUAAAAUUGAAUUACAUAUAUCAUAAUAUUCCAAAAAUAUAUAUAUAUAUAUAUAUAUAUAUAUUAUAGAAUAUAGAUUUAAUAGAAGACGUGCAAUUCUUUAAAAGUUUAAAAAAUUAGCCAAAGAUAAAGCCAAUGCUAAAGAUGCAUAUAGGUUGGAGAAAUUGGUGGCGUCGAUGUAAGACUACAAGUACUUGGACCCAAGAUUGGCAAGCUAGAAGUAGAGAGCAAGAUAUUAGAUGCUUUGGAGAUCAUGUGCCUAUACACAAUAGAUAAUUCUUUGAAGCAGCCAAGAAUACAAUAAAUUGUGGAUUUGCUAAAAGACAUACAAUCAAAGUUUAAUGGUGCAUCAAUUUAGUUGUUUAGAAUGGAUGUCUUUGUACAUUCAUAUCUAUUUUUUUGGUUGCUACAAGAUGCCAAUUUGUGCAAUUCCAAGCUUUGUAUUUUAUAAGAUUAUUAUCAUACACUAAGAUCUAGUAUUUUUUUUGACUAAUGGAUUGUAGGAAAUGUAUAUUAAUACAUACAUACAUAAAUAUAAAUCCAUCUCAAUCCAUGCGGGUAUAAUAAUAUUAUAACAAUUUAGUUAUUUAUAUAAGAGUUGUAGUCAACAUCUUGCACUCAUAAAUGUUGUAGAGGUACAUAUUAUUAUUUGAUGUAAGGAACUUGAUGGUGCAAGGUUCACAGUGCAAUUAUAUUUGGAUUUGGGAGCUUGUAGAAUAAAUGUAUUAAAAAAAUAGAAAUAUGAAUAAUAAGAGGGUGUAAGUUGCAACAUUGAUUAGUAGUGACUUGGAGGAAUAGAAGAGUGAUGAAUUAGGAAGAGUGUCCAUGUAAAUGCUUAAGAGUUAUUCAAAUAAGCAAAGCUAUAGAUUUGUAUCUAAAGAUAUAAAUAAAGGAUUAAGGCUUAAAAAAAUUGAAGGCAAUGACUUUAGAUUUCAAAUGAUAUUUAUAAAGAGUGCAAAUUGAUUCAAAAUUGAGAUUGUAGAAAGCGCUAAGAGCAAAAAGAGCUUGUAGAUUAUGAUUAUGGAAAGAAUAAUGGCCAAUGCAAUUAGAGAAUUGGAAUGUACAAAUUUAAAAAAUGUAUAUAUAAAGUAAGUCAAGAAGAAAUAAUCUUAGUAAAUAAUUAGAGGUCUCACUUGCUUAUUGCACCAAUAGUCUAGUCAUAGAAUAAUAUCUUGUCAUAAUAUAAAUCAUAGUUUAAUUAUCAACCGGUACAAUUACAAUGUUUAAAUAUCUUAGUUGAUUUGAACAUGUGGUUAGUAAUGACAAGGUCAAAGUUUCAAUCCUUCAUUCUAUCAAGAGUAAUUUUUACCAUCUUUAAAGUCAAAAGAUUUUUGAAAAUUUUUUACAAAUAACUUUUUUUUCUUAGUCCAAAUUUUGGUAUUCAUUUUUAAUACAUUCAAAUUAUUAAGCAUUGUCAUAAUAUAACACGACUAAUAGGUGAAAGAAUGUAGAAAUUCUUAUAAUAUAAGAAUUUUUAGUUCAAAGUAUUAGAGCAAAUUAUCUUAGAAAUAUAGUUAAUAGUCAAAAGGGUAGUAAAACUAAAAAGUAUCAAUAUUGCCUUUUACAAAAUGGCCUUCUAUUUACUUUGUUGGAUCAUAAAUAAAGUAAAAUAAAAUAGAUUAGGAAAAUAAAGAAUAUGAAUAUUUAUAAGAGGAAGUUAGGAUUUGAUUUUAAUAAAAAUUAACUCAAAAAAGAAAAAAAUUGAUAUCCGAGGAGAGCCGGUUAUCAAUUUGGAUCAAAAUCAGACCCCAAGGCACAAAACUGAGCACCUACGGUAACUUCGGGAUAUUUUGGCAAAUAAAAGAGUGGAAUUUGAUAAUAGAAUAGAUAAGGUUUCUAUGAGCAUUAUUUUUGUAUGAUUUGGAUUUGUAAUGACUUUGUAAGGACUUUACAAAUUUAAGUUUGUUUUAGAUGAGUUGGAUUUUUGUAAAAUAAAAUAGGAUUGACGUUUUGGAUGAUUAUGAGAGUUCUAUAACAGAUCUAUAGGUGAAAUUUUGUGGAUUAAUGGUUAUAGUUGUGUUUAAUAUGUAUUAUAUAUUUUAGCUUGAUCUAAUAGUUGAAUUGAAGGUUAUUGAAGUUUAAGUGGAUCAAGGUCUCAGAAAGUAGAAUUUUAGGUUUAAUAAGAGUUUUUAAGAUUUCUUGCUAUCUACAAGUUGGAUUGGAGUGAAAUUUGUGUGUGAAGAUAUUAGACUUGUUUUCAUAUAUAUAUAAGAAUUUUGAAAUCAAUUGAAUGGUGAAAAGGAGAGAUAUUGGCUAUGGGAGAUUGGCAUCAAGGUUGGAGAAGGAGGCCAACCAAUACCCGAGCAUGUUUUUGAGGUUAUCAUCUAUUUGGUAAUUUCAAUCCGGUUAGGAUUUGAUUUAAGAUUUAGGAUUUGAUUAGGGAGAAAACUUGAUAAGGUUUUGAUAAACAUUGAUUUUGGGUGAUUUGAAUUUGUAUUGACUUUGUAAGAGCUUUGCAAAGUUAGGGUUUGUUUUGGGUGACUCUAGAUUUGUGAAAUAAAAUGGGAGAUAUUUUUUAGAGAAUUCCAUAAGUUUGGCAAUAGAUCUAUGGAUGAAAUUUUUAGGGUUUUUAGGUAUAUAUGUGUUUAAUAUAUUUUGUAAUUUUAAGGUUGAUCAAAGGGUUGGAUUGAGGGUUAUUGAGGUUUAAAUGGGUAAAGAUCUUGGAAAAUAGAGUUUUAUAUUUAGUAAGGGUUUUUAAGAUUUUUUACAAUCUACUAAUUGGAUUAGAGUGAAAGUUAUUUGUGUGGGUAGUAAACUUGUUUCCUUAUGUAUGUGAAAAUUUGGAGAUCAAUUGAAUAGUUCAAUAAGGAGAUAUUGGCAUUGGAAAUUCAACAUUCAAAUUGGAGAAAGAGGCUGGCCAUCAUCCAAGCAGAUUUUAGAAUUGAUCUUCUUUUUGAUGAGUUAGAUCUUUUUCAAAAAAAAUUUACUUGUUUUCAACCUAAUUGUUAAGAGGUUUGAAAAAUUUGAGUUUAAAUCAACAGUUCAUUCAUUAAUUAUUGAGGUUUAAAUCUACUAUAGGAAUUACUUGAGAUUAUUUAGGAUUUGGUUAGGAUUUGUUUAAGGUUCGAUUAGGAUUUGAUUAAGAUUUGGUUAGGAUUUAACUAGAGUUUGGUUAGGAUUUUAGUAGGAUUUUAUUAGGAUUUGAUUAGGAUUUGGUUAGAAUUUCUUUAGAAUUUGACUAAGAUUUGGUUAUGAUUUGAUUAAAAUUUGACAAGGAUUUGUUUAGGAUUUGUUUAGGGUUUGAUUAGGAUUUGGUUGGAAUUUGUUUAAGAUUUGACUAAGAUUUAUUUAGGAUUUAUUUAGAAUUUUUUAAAGAUUUGGUUAGGAUUUGUUUAGGAUUUGGUUAGGAUUUACCUAGAAUUUGAUUAGGAUUUAUUUAAGAUUUGAUUAAGGUUUUUUUAGGAUUUGACUAAGAUUUAUUUAAGAUUUUUUUAGGAUUUGAUUAAGAUUUUUUAUAGAAUUUUAUUAGGUUUUACUUAAGAUUUAAUUAAGAUUUAUAUUUUUAAUAUUUUAUUUAGAUUUCUAUUUUACUAUAUUUUAGUAUUUCUAUGUUAUUUUUUAUGAUUUUUUUAAAAGGUCUCCAGAAAUUCUUUAUAUUUUUUUAUAUAUUUUUUAAAAUUUUAAUUUAAUUUGAUCGAUGUUUGAUUAUAUUUGCUAAUCUUUAAUUGUAAUUUGUUUCAUAAUCUAUUAGAGUGUCACGGACACAAAAUACAGACUUGAAAUCUAACAAGAAGUUCAAGAAGAAGUGACAGAACUAGAUUAAACAGAUGAGUACAAGAACAACACCAGAAAUGUGAGCUAGAACUCUAAGAGAUGUGUUGUCGAGACUGAAGAACCCUUCAGCCUCGACUCCUAUAUAUACUACUGAAUAGGAAGCUUCUCGAGCUACUUCCGCUAACUAGGACGCUUCUCCAAUAACUUCUACUAAUUAGGAAACUUCUUGAGCAACUUCCUAGAAUCUAUCAGAAUAUUCUAGAACCUUCUAAGAGAAUCUUUAGGGAAUAUUCUAAGAAUCUUCUAGAACCUUCUAAAGAAAUCUUUAGAGAAUCUUUAGAGAAUAUUCUAGAAGAAUAUUCGAAGAAUCUUCUAAUGUAUGUCCAUGACAUCACCUCCUCUUCUAACUUCGAGGUCUCCGAGAAGCAAUGUUGUUAUCAGUCAAUACCAACGCAAGAAAAUGAAAAUCUGUCGCAUCACAUCCGCUAUGAAUUCCAAUUGUUGUUCGUGAGGCAAAUGAUUCAUCGGCCCUUGGAGCCAACGGUAGUGACCAACACCUUCAACCUCUGACCAAGCGUGGACUUCUGUGUCUUCAUUGUGAAACUGUCCUCCAAACACACCUUCUGGCUGACCGUCGUAGGCAGGCUCGACCUCAAAUACAAUUACUAGCGAUCUGUUGCUCGGUAUCCUUCGACGUCGUCGUGGUGCAGGCGGUUCUUCAUCUCGCGGUCGUCUUCGUGAGCUAGUCGCUUGAGAUGACAUAACAAGUGUAGUAUCUUGACUAUCCAUGUCCAAAGGCUAAAAUGAUGAGAGCAAACUAUAGUUGCUAACAAAGUUCUACACUAUCGAACUAUGGGUUUUGGAGGUGCCCUCCCCCCUUUUUAUGCUACUUGAUGAGCAAGCUUCAGCAAGAAGCUAUCGUUGAAUCGGCUUAGGUUUAUGAGGAUAUCGUUGAUGAAAUUCUUGUACCUUUUUUGGUGCAUUGGCAAGAUUUUCGGCACGCUCCCACGUUCGUUCAUUGAUGUCGUAUCCACUCCAAUGCACUAAAUACUCCAAUUUUCUCCUAUUACGCCGUGAAUCCAGUACCUUUUCCACCUCGUAUUCCUCAUGGUUUUUAAUUUCGAUACUUGGUGGCGGACUUUGUACUCUUUGGGGAAAAGCUGACUCUCGAUAAGGUUCCAACAAAGACACAUGAAAGACUGGAUGUACCUUUAUAGUAGCUGGUAACUCCAGACGAUAUGCCACCGGAUUGAUCUACUUCUCGAUAACAAAUGGCCCUAAUCUCCGAUAGUCCAAUUUGUCACAUGGCCGCUUGGGCUUGAUAUUCCGUCGAAGAAGCCAUACUUUACUUCCAACUUUAAAAGUAGGCGCCUCAUUUCGAUAUUUAUCUGCAGAUGCCUUGUAACUCUCUUGGGCAGAUUGCAAUUGAAGCUUCAACGUCGCUUGAAGCUCCGAUAGUUGCUUCACAAAUCCUUCAGCUACUGGGUUGUUAUUUGCUGAAGAACUCAAUAAAUCGAACUUGGGGUGGUAUCCGUAGUUGGAGAAGAAUGGUGUUUAUUGAGUUGACGCAUAAAGAGUGUUGUUGUAUGCGAACUCAGCAAGCGGUAGAUAUGCAGUCCAAUCAUCUUGUUGAUAGUUGAUGCUGCAUCGUAAAUAUUGCUCCAAAACUUGAUUCACCCGCUCCGUUUGACCGUCAGUUUGAGGAUGAAAAGCCGAAGAGAGCUUAAUAUCCACCUUCAAUAUCUCAAAGAGGGACCUCCAAAACUUGGAUACAAACUGAGUACCUCGAUCCGACACGAUAUCAUCUGGUAGGCCAUGAUAACGAUAUAUGUUAUCAAGAAAGAGUCUUGCGGUGUCUUCACUUGACGAUGUUUUCUUGCAAGGCACGAAAUGUGCCAUCUUUGUAAAUCGAUCCACCACAACAAAGAUGCUGUCAAAUGAAUUCGAUGGCAGUAGGUCCAUAAUGAAGUCCAUAGAAACUGAAGACCAUGGUCGGUGCGGAAUAGGCAAUGGCUGGAGAAGUCCAUACGGACGAUGUCGAGGGAUCUUGGAUCUUGAACAAACAUCACAAGAAAGGACAAAUUCCUUCACAUCCUUCCACAUUUGGGGCCACCAAAAAUCUCGUGAAAUGAGCUCCAAAGUCUUGUUGAAUCCAAAAUGUCCCGCAGUUGGAAAGUCGUGGCGAGAUUGAAGUACUUGGAGUCGAGUUGGUCCUUUCGGGAUAUACAACCGCUCUUCAAAAUACAGAAGAUCUCCCUCCACCUUAAACUUGUCAUUAUCGACACGUUGUUUGAUGUCAAGAGCUAUAGAAUCCUCAAUGGUCGCAGUACGUACUUCGUUGAGGAAGCCGUCAUCGAUAGUUGCAACAGUAGCAAAAAUCCUGAAUUUUUCUGGUUUCAACAAUGUUAUACAUUGUUGAUCAAACGCUGCUUCUGCAGCCUUUGGCGCAAGAUACGAUCUCCUUGAUAAUGCGUCAGAUAAUCCUUGCUGUUUUCCAGGGCGGUAGGUGAUAAUAAAGUCAAAUCGUGAUAGAGACAUAUUCCAUCGAGCUUGACGACGAUUCAAAAUUCGAGCUGUCAUGAAGUACUCCAAAUUCUUGUGGUCCGUAUAAACAGUCACUGGAUGUGCAGCUCCUUCCAGGAAGUGACGCCACUCUUGGAAGGCAUCCACUAUAGCAAGCAGCUCUUUGUCGUGGAUCUCGUAGUUGAUCUCAGCAGCAGAGAACUUCCGUGAAUAGAACGCAACUGGGUGAAGCUUCUUGUCUAUGCCCAUUUGUGAAAGCACAGCUCCCAAAGCAAAAUCUGAAGCAUCGGUCUCUAAAUAGAAAGCCUUUGCAAAGUCAGGGUGUACCAAGAUUGGAGCCGUAGUGAAUGCCGUCUUAAGAUCUUGAAAUGCUUUUGCUGCUUGUGAUCCCCAUUCGAGCUUGUCUUUGCUUGUUAGACGCGUGAGUGGUGCAGCAACUUGAGAAUAAUUCUUGAUGAAGAUCCAAUAGAAGUUAGAAAAUCCAAGAAAACACUGAACAUCUCUAAUCGUCUUCGGAACUUCCCAAGAUAUAAUUGCUUCUACCUUUUUUGGAUCCAUCUUCAAGCCCUCUGUAGUCGCAAUGAAACCCAAAAAUUCCAUCUCAUUCUGGUGAAAUUGACACUUCUCCAACUUGGCAUAGAGUCCUCGUUCGCAUAGUUUUUCAAGAACCAAACAAACGUGCUUCUCAUGUUCUUCUUCAUUCUUGGAAAAUAUCAAAAUAUCAUCCAGAUAGAUGACAACAAAGUCAUCGAGGUACUCCCGAAAGAUGUCGUUCAUCAUAUGCUGAAAGACCGCUGGAGCAUUGGUAAGACCAAAAGGCAUGACAUUGUACUCAAAAUGGCCAUACCUUGUACGAAAGGCUAUCUUCCAUUCAUCUCCUUCUUUGAUUCGCACAAGGUUGUGGGCUCCUCUUAAAUCAAUCUUUGUAAAAAUCCUUGCACGUCCAAGUUGAUCUAAGAGGCCGGAGAUCAAAGGUAAGGGAUAGCGAUUUUUCUUGGUCACCUUGUUGAGUCCUCGGUAGUCCACGCACAUCCGCAGUGAGCCAUCCUUUAUCUUCACGAAUAAGAUUGGUGCUCCAGCUGGCGACUUUGAAUGUCGAAUAAAAUUCUUGGCUAGAUUCUCAUCGAUGUACUUCCGCAAUUCUGCCAACUCCGUCUGCGAUAGGUUGUAUAUUGGACCAAAAGGUGGUUGCGCUCCUUCCUCUAAGUCUAUGGCGCAAUCAUAUGGUCGAUGUUCCGACAGUAUAUCGGCGUUUUUCUUCUGAAACACGUCUUCAAAAUCCCUAUAUUGCUCUGGUAUAUUCGAUGUUGAGAUAUUUUCGCCGCUAGUUGGAGCUGCAUAAAUGACAAAUGGUGCGCCUUCCUUAGACGAUCUUAGGAACGCUCUCCCUCCAAUAAACAUGGAUUUCUUCAUGUAGGUUCUACCAACAGGUUUAUUAUUAUUUUUUUCAGGAAAUGUUAUCCUUCGUAGCCUCCAAUCAAUGGACGGAUUAUGAUCUUCUAACCAAGAAAGACCAAGGAUAACAGGGCUUGAUGGGGUUCUAAUAAUAUUAAAAAUAACGUGACUACUAUGGUCCUUAAACACCACUUCUAUAGGUUCUGAUUCGUGGGUAACGUUGCCUGACAAUAAGGGUCGUCCAUCUAUCACCUCUACGUGAACAGGUUUGGACUUCUGUACUAAACGGAUCUUGUGGCGUUUAGCAAACUCUUCAUCUAAAAAACAAGUAGAUGCCCCUGAAUCCAAUAAAGCUAAAGUUUUUUGUUUUUGAGGGCCUAAAAACAAAGGAAUUAUAAAACAACGGGCAGGUUGGACAGAGAAGGAGGAACCUGAUUGUUGUCGUGAUAUUAGAUUGUCCAGCCGCACGGUUCCUACUGUGGCUGGGCAUCGUCGUUUUCCGGAAUCAUCGCACUUCUAGUCUUGACAGGGUGCCAAUUUUGCUUCUUUGGGCAAUUUCCAACCUUGUGACCUUCUCCACAGUACAAACAUAACCCUUCCUCCAUACGCCGUUUCUUCUCUGUUGGAGUAAGAGAUCGGACACGCGCCGUGUCGAUUUGCAUGUCUGUUGCCUCCGAAUGUGAGUUUAAGCUAUUUGCAGACAUAGUCACGUCGUAACGAGUCAUUUGGUAUCUUGGACGUUGGUCUUGGCGACGCUGGAAUAGGCGGUUGUCACACUUUACAGCUUGGCUAAUAGCUUUGUUGAGCGUUUGAGGAUCAGGAAGAGAUAACAGCGAGUCCUUCACAUCAUCCUUCAAUCCCCAAUAAAACUGACUCACCAACGCCUCUUCACCCCAAUUAAUGUCACUUGCCAAUUGUCUGAAAUCCGAGGCAUAGACUGAUGCAGAGCGUGUUCCUUGUCGUAGCGAUCGGAUCUUUGUUGUAGCCCAUCGAACUUUAUCAUGCUCGCCAAAUGCUUCUGCAAACGCCUCCAAGAACGUUUCAAAGUUGCUCAGGAUUGGCGAUUGCUUCUCGAACAAGGGAGUAAACCAAGACAGAGCUUGUGCUGUAAGCAAGGUUCCAACAAGCCCAACACGCGCUUCUUCCGUCGGAUAACGUUCGGGCUGUAAAAUUGUUAUCAACUUGAUUUGGUUGACAAAACCUCGAAACUUGGAACGAAUUCCAUCAAACUUAUCCGGAAGACUAACUCGAGGCUCCUUUCGUUGUAGGACUACUCGAUCUUGUUGAAAUGGAGGUAGAACUGCUUCUUCUGGCACAGAAGUUUGAGGCUGAUAUGCUUUAGAUGGCGCUAUCCCAGAUGCUCCAUUGUUAUGGAGUCCUACCAUGACUCCUUCGAUCUCUGUUGUCCUAUGUGACAACGAGGCAAGAGCAUUUAUGAUGGCAUCUAGUUUGGAUUCCAAACUUUCAGCCAUUUUAACGUCUUAACCUUCGGCUAACCUUCAAAAAGAAGAAAAAAGAGUUUUGACAAGAGGACAAUAUUGGUUCAGAGGAGAGUACUCCGCAACCUCUAAAACGCCUUAAGACUCCAAGAUGAGGGGUAAUCCACUCUCUCCAAGAAGAAUAAGGCUCCAAUAUUGAGAAAGAAGAGAUAUCAGUUUAGAGGAGGAUAAUCCGCAACCUCUAAAACACUAGCACACCUUCAAGAAGAGGGGUAAUCCACUCUCUAACAAGAAGGAACUAGCUCUGAUAUCAGUGAAAAUGCAGUCUCGACAAACUGUCACGGACACAAAAUACAGACUUGAAAUCUAACAAGAAGUUCAAGAAGAAGUGACAGAACUAGAUUAAACAGAUGAGUACAAGAACAACACCAGAAAGGUGAGCUAGAACUCCAAGAGAUGUGUUGUCGAGACUGAAGAACCCUUCAGCCUCGACUCCUAUAUAUACUACUGAAUAGGAAGCUUCUCGAGCUACUUCCGCUAACUAGGACGCUUCUCCAGCAACUUCUACUAAUUAGGAAACUUCUCGAGCAACUUCCUAGAAUCUAUCAGAAUAUUCUAGAACCUUCUAAGAGAAUCUUUAGGGAAUAUUCUAAGAAUCUUCUAGAACCUUCUAAAGGAAUCUUUAGAGAAUCUUUAGUGAAUAUUCUAGAAGAAUAUUCGAAGAAUCUUCCAAUGUAUGUCCAUGACAUAGAGUUGUGAAGACUUAUUGUUGCAAUUUUCCUUUUAUCUUCCACAGCUAGUUGCCUAGUGCAUUCUCAAGCCAAAUCCCAUGUAAUAUGACAAUGUGAAGUCUGCUUGAGAAUGUAUUGGAUAUGUAGCUGUAGAAGGAAAAAUAGAACUUCCAAUAAGAUGAUCCUAAAAAUUCUAAUAGAAUCUUAAACAAAGUUUAAUUAAAUUAUUAUAAUACUAAUUAAUAUUUAAUUAUAUCCAAAAGAAGUCUCAAAAUUUUACAAAAGAAAUAUAAAGAAAUUAUAAAUUAAUUUUAAUGAAAUACAUGUAAUAAAAAAUAUUAAAAAAAUAUUAAAAAUAAAAUUUUUAAUUGAAUCGUUAUACAAUCCUCAACAAAUUCUAAUAAAAUUCUAAAUAAAUUCCAAUCAAACCUUAUUAAAAUCUUAAAUCUCAAAUAAAUCAUAAUCAAAUUCUUAAUAAAUUUUAAUAAAAUUCUAAAAAAACCUUAAUCAAAUACUAAAAAAACCUUAACCAAAUUCUAGAAAAAUCAUAAUCAAAUCCUAACAAAAUCCUAAAUCCAAAUUAUCGGCCAAAUCUUAAUCAAAUCCUAAAUUCAAAUCUUAAGCCAAACCCUAAUGAAAUCCUAAAUCCUAAAUAAAUCCUAAAUAAAUCCUAUGCCUUAGACCAAAUCCCAAUGAAAUUCCAAAUCUUGAUCAAAUCCUAAUAAAUUUUAAAUAAAAACUAAUCAUAUUUUAGAUAAAUUCUAAUUAAAUUUUUAAAAAAAUUCUAAAUCCUAAUCCUAAAUCGAAUCCUAAUAAAAUCCUAAAUUCUAAAUAAUUCCAAAAAAUUCCCAAGUAAUUUUCAAUCAAUUAUUAUAGCUAUUUUAAACCUCAAUAAAUAUCAAUUCAAUUAUAGAUCUUAACUAAAAUUUCACUUAAACUUUUAUUUUAUACUCUGAUUGAUAAAAUACAAUUAGAUUGGUAGUUAAUCCUAAGUUUUAUUUUUCUACUAAAUAUUUUGAUAUUAAAUAUCAUAUAAUUUGAGAGAAAGUUAAAAUAGAAUUCUAAAAUAAAUUAUAUAUUUAUUAAUAAAAAUAUAAUUGAUAUUUUUAUAAAAACUUUGACUCUUGAUAAAUUCAAGACAUUGCAUGCUUUGCUAACUCUACACUCAAACUUAUGCUUCACUUUUCUAUUAAAGUAGAGAAAUUAAAACAUAUUGUAAUAUCAAUAGAAAAAUUAUUAUUUAGUAGGAAUUUAAUGAAUAAUGUGUUACUAGUAAGAAAUAAGAACUUUUCAUUGAUAUAUAUAAGAUUUGAAUUGUAAUAAAGUAUUAUUAUUUUUGAAUAUUCUUGGUGUAGUAUUAUAUAAAAACAAUAGAUUAUAGGCCUACGCUUUGUUGUUUUGUAAUUUUUUUUUAGUGCUGAAUUAGAAUGUUAAUUAAGAUUAAAAAGCUAGAUUUUGAUUAAUUCAGUUGCUUUAUUAUGUUUUAUUUUUAAGUAAGUAGUAUCAAGAAAGUAUUAUCAAAGUGAUUGACUUCUUUGAAAGCAAUUGAUUAAGUGAUUAGAAUAAUUGAAUGGCUAAUUGAGUAUUUAGUAUUCAAUAUACUUUUCAAGUUUUUCAAUCAUAGUUUUUAGAAAAAUUUUAGUGCUUAUUUGUUCUUUCAAAAAAUUUCUUGAUUUUCUUGAACUUCUUAAUUUUACAUGCAUUAUAUUUUUAAACUUCCUAUUCAUUUUUUUAUUUCUUACAAUUCAAUCACCUAAUAAUUUGAUGAUAAUAUCGAUCAAUAAAGAUUUAAUUGAAAUUCAAUAUUUUAAUAGUUCUAAGUUUUACAUAUAGAAGUGGUAGAUUAAGAAUCUAUUUUGAGCAAAAAGAUACAUUACUUAUGUUGAUGGCAUAAGGUAGAAGAAAAUAGGAAAUGUACAAUGGAUAAAAGCAUAUUAUAUUGCUUAUAUUCUAUUAAUUUCUUCCAUUGAUCAAUAGUUUCUUGUGCCUCUAACAAGUUGCAAAACUACACAAUAAGUUUAGAGCAAAUUAUUAAAGGAGUAUGAAUUUAAAAAAAAUGCCAAUGUUUAUGAAUUUAUGCAAUAAUUCUUUGAUGUAAGAAUUCAACAUGACCAAUCCAUUUUUAGUUUCAAAGCUCAACUAAAACUUAUUAUAAGUGAGCUAAAAGAUUUGGGUGAUACUACAUUUAUGAAUUUUUGCAUGAUAUCUAAACUUACUUUGAACCUUGUGAUUGUCAUUUUACUUAUUUUACAAUUCCUUCCAGAAUAAACUUGUAUAGGGGAAUUCGAACACAGGGAAAGACUAAGCGUAUGAGUUUUACUUGCUAGUGUCAAACAAUUAACUAUAUUUCAAACCACUAAAACACUAAGAAAUACUACAAUGCUUCUUCCCAGUAACAAUAUUCCUUCAUCAACUGAUAACCACAAUGUGCAACCCUACACUCUCAAAAGACUGCUCAAAACUCAAUAAAUUCCAUCCAACACUAUGAAUAACAAACUUCACUCCAACCAAUCUGAAUUCACAGAAUUCCUGUAAUCACAGACUUCCUCUGUCAAAAUACACAUAUACAACUCUCAAUAAACAACAAUCAUAAUCUUCCAUCUAUAAUCAAUCUUCCAAUAACUUUUCAUAUAAUUCAAUCACUCAAUACUCCAAUUACAUAAUCAAUAACUCACAAAUCAAUCUCUGAUUUAUUCCACAAAUUCACUUCUCAGUAUUCAGAAACUAUCUAUUACUCUUCAACAAUAAAGAAAAAAAAUAAAUAAAUAAAUAAAUAAAGAAGAAGCACCAAGCUUAAUCUUGGCUCAUGAUUAUCACAGUCUGGUCUCCCAACAAACUUCUACAACUCCUAUAUAAUUGCUAUUGAUUUCUAGAUUCUAACCGUAAUCCUAUAAUAACUACUUUUAAUAAUUGAAUCAAUCAUCCAUCCUCCUAAAAUGACUAUUCUAUGGAUUAUUAAUCUAUUUUACCAAUAUCUUACAAAAACAAACUAAUAUCUAUUCUACAUAGCCCCACUCUUAUCUGUGCAGCAUCCUCGCAAACACACAAUGGAUACCUAUCUAAAAACUACUUAACAAAACUCUAUAAAUUUACUAGUUCCUCUGGCCCAUCCAAUUAAUCAUUUGCUGCAUUAUUGAAUGUAGGUUCUACCGAUUUUGGUUCUAAAUUCAAAUUUUCGUCCUCUACCAAUCCAUCUAUCGUCUCCUUCUUCAAUUGGUUUGAUAGAUCUUCAUUAUACUCACCCAAUUCAUGGACUUGAGCCUCCAGUUUUAAGAUCUAGGUAUCACGGAGUUCCAACUGAUGCUGCUCCUGACUCAUCCAUUCUAGAACAUCUUCAAUUGACACUUGAGACUAGCUUCUCACUGUUAACUCUUCCGUCAAUUUUGUCACCUAGGCUUGUAAAACUUUGAUUUCGGAUCUCAACUUCUCCGUUUUGCUUCUAGAUUGGUCAUUCAAUGCUUCUUUCUCUUUCGUCAAUAACUCUGCCUUGUCUCCUUCCACUUGCAACUGGCAUUUGAGUUUUUCCCAUUCAAAAUCUCAUGUCUUGUAAUUCUGGAUCAAUUCAUCUUGUUGUCCUUCCACAAUCCAUCAAAUGUGUUCUUUUUCUUUUGUCCAAGCUUCUUGUUUCUUUAAAAAUCUCCUCUUCAAUGUCAACUUGGAUUCCUCAUUCUCUUAUAGUAUCUGUUCUUUCUCUAUGAUUUUUGUUUUGUUUGUUUCUUUGUUUGUUUGUUUGUUUGUUUUUUUUAUUUUUAUUUUUAUUUCGGUUCUACUCUGAUAUCACCUUCUUGCUGUCUUCUUUGUCUGUAGUUCUCUUUGCACUUUCAAUUGCGAUGACGCUCCCUCUCUCAAGUGCUUAAUUAAAACUACUACUCUCAAAAAUACAAGAAACACAAGAAAUGGUACUCCAACCAAUCCAAAACAACACCACAUAAUGACUUUAAUUGGUGCCCUACUCCUAUUCUUUUACUACCUGGUGAUAAAAACAGCAGGUUACGUAUACAGUUCGUGAAAGAUAAAGGAAAGUAAUCUUUCUUGGUGGCCACAUUAAGUUUCCAAAAAUCCUGAAAAAUUCGGAUUUUUUCGUUCUUUUUCGGCACCAUCACGAUUGCAAAAACCCACUCACUAUUUGGUAUCGGGUAAAUAAAACCAACCGCAAGAAGCUUGUCCAAUUCCUCCUUCACCAUGAGGGAAUAUUUAGGAUUAAGGCAAUGUUGACUUUGCUGUAUCGGUUUAGCAUUCUCUUCUAAAAUGAUACGAUGUUCACAAGCUUCACUGAGGAUACCUUUUAGAUCAUCAUAAGACCAAGCAAAAGUGGAUUUAUGAUACAAGAAAAAUUCUAUCCAAUAGGUCAACUCUUGGUCCUUAAUACCUUCGUAGACCUUAAUUGUCCAUGGCUCUGCCGUGGUCACCAAGUUAAUAGUUUGACAUAAAGGUGCAAUGGCGAUGUUUUGUUUCAACUCUCAUGCUGGUUGAAAAUCAGUCGAUAAGUCCGACAUGUGUGAAGUACUGAAUCCUGUGUCCAAGGCACUAAUAUGAUGCACAUCAUACUUGGUCAUCUAAUCAAUACUAACAUACUCAAAGUUUUCUGAAUCCAUCGGGUAUAUCAAAUACUCCUCCAAACCUCCAUAUUGGUACACCACUCCAGGGUAUUGCGCUGCUUCCACAGACGCCUCCAUAAUCAGUGUGAUUGCAUCAUCAUUGGAACUAAGCUCAUCAUCCGACGUCAAUUCACAUGUUGGCAAUUGAGACUCCCUGUGAUAGCGUACUGGGUACAUUUAUAAUAUCAUUUUGUCACUGCCCUUGCCAACUGUCAAAGUACCCUGACCUCAAUCGUUCUUGGCCUUUGCAUGAUAAAGCCAAGGUCAUCACAAUAAAAUUGGAUACGAUAAAGUUGAAUGUUGUAGCCAAAAGAUGAUAUAGUCAAUUACAUAUGCAAUACCAGUAAUUAUAGUUUGAACACUCCGUAAAAUAUCUAUUGGUUUAAUCCGGCUCUGAUCUGUCAUCCGUAAUACCAAUGUCGUGGAUACUAAGUAUUCCAAAUCUAAAGCAUCCAUUGUAUCAGUGUUCAUUAAAUUGACACUGGAACCACCAUCCACCUGAACACCCAAGAUCAUAACACCAUCAAUCGAAACAUCGAUGGUAAGUGCACCUGGGUCAAGGUUCAAACUGACUUCACAAACUUCCUUAUUACGUUUCUUAUGCCAUGUUAACGAUGAAUUUAAUAUAGAACGGCAUUCUAGUACGACCGCUAGAAGUUGCUUCAUAGAAAUAAAAGGCCGAAUAGCAUCCAAAUCCUUCAAUAUGUCAUAGGGUUCCAUAUUUACAAUAAUGUCCAAUGUCCUCUUUUUUUUCAUUGGUUGGAGUUUAACUCCUUGAGGUACGAUAUUCUUCCGCCCUAGAUUUGGAAUUGGAACAACAGAUGGAGCUUCCUUGGAAUUUACACCUCUUAGAGAAUCUUUCAAUGGAAAUGAUGUUUUUUUAAAUGGCAUAGAGAACAAAAUAGCUUGAAACGGAAUCGAAGCCUCCGUAAUUGGUACCUCAUUGGGUAGCCCAACCGAGUCAGGUCUCAUAUUGGAUAAGAAGCCCGUAAUAGGACCUGGAUUAGAUGUCCCCAUAAUUGGGUCAAAUUGGCCCUUCACUUUAAGAUUACUCAAAUGUUGAAUUGAUCCUUUCUCUUUUUGUUGACUCCUGGUAAGAACGGCUUAGACACAUUCCAUCCGAUUUAUCAAAGAAUCUUGAGGAUCUUAAUUUAUCUCCUCUAUUUUUCCUUGAUUUUGGAUCUAUUGAUCCCGAUUAUUGAAAUUGAACAGAGCAUUACAUUGCUGAUAAGUAUGCCUCGACUGCUUGCAAUUCCCACAAACUGGCACAUAAUGGUCACUAGCUCUGGGAUUGAGACAUUCACUGGCAUAAUGGCCAAUCUGUCUACAACGGAAAUAACGAAGUGGUCUUCUUGCACCCCCAUCUAGCAUAUUGGGUGUCUCCACCGGUAUAUAUUUACUAAGCUUGUUUUAUGUAGGGUUAAAAAAUGAUUCUGGUUAUUCCAUUGGAAUGGAAGAAACUUGGUUCGAUGAUGCCGGUGGAGCAUAUUGCUGAUACCUCUGUUGCUCCUUGUCAUAGUUCUGAGGAUUUGAUGCAAACCCCUGAUUAAAAUUGGAACUUUGAAAGUUAUUGAAUGCUCAAUUUUGUCAAUUAGAUCAAUUUCCAUUCCAUCGAAACGUAUUUUCCGAUUGAACUUGAUUGACGUCCUAGUGAGUUGGUAGGAUCAUGGUCUGAUUAGUAAAUUGUUGUUGCCUUUGCAAAUUCCAACAAUUAGCUGUUAAGUGCUUUCCUCUACAAAAUAUACAUUGAUCCAUCAUUUGUCAAGGUGAAAGGCAUUCUGUUACCAAAUGACCGUGGCCCUUACAAUUACUGCACCAAACAUUGGUUGUAGUAUUGAUAGGCUUUUACCUCUUCUCCUUAUCCUUGGCCAUAUUAACAGCCAUUUCUUCCAUUUUCUUUGUCAAGUUCAACAACAAGGCUUCAUUGGAAUCUUUUGGGGCUGGUAUUAUUGGUAACUCUGUUGCAGUUAACACUUGUUGUUGAUACAAAAAAUAGGGAGCAUACGCAAUUGUCACGUUCGGUGGUAUAGCUUGCAAUGGGGUGACAUUAACUAGUACCUGAAUAUUGGCAUUGGAAUUGGCCUUUGUAUCUAACAUCUAUGGAUAAGCACCCACUGAUCCGUUAUUGUGUUGUAACACAACUAUAUGGUGAAAGAUGAUGAUAUGGAUCUUAUUUUAGAAGAUCCAAGUUAAAAGAAAAGGUAGAAAAAUAUGGAUAAAAGAUAGGAAGGUAGUAAAACUUUUAGUAGUAAUGCUGCACUUUUAGAAAAAAUAGCUUCUACUUACUUUGUAGGACCAAAAAUAAGGCAAAAUAAGGUAAAUUGGAAAAAUAAAUGAUAUAGACAUCUUUAGGAAGAAGUUAAGAGUAAAUUCUAGUAAAAAUCACUUUAAAAAAACUAGAUGUUGAUACUUAGAGAGGGCCGGUUAUGAACCAGGGUCGAAAUCAGACCCUGAGGCACAAAACCGAGUCUCGACAAUGACUUCGGAACUCUUUGGUAGAUCGGAGAGUGGGAUUUGAUAGAAGAUUGGAUAGGAUUUCUAUGGGAAUUGAUAUUGGGUGAUUUGGAGUUGUUAUGACUUUGUAAGAGCUUUGCAAAGUCAAGGUUUGUUUCAGAUGACUUGGAUUUUAUGAAAUAAAAUAGGAUUUACAUUUUGGAUGAUUUCAAGAGUUUUGUAAUAGAUCUACAAGUGAAAUUUUGUGGAGUUAUGGUUAUAGUUGUGUUCAAUAUGUAUUGUGAAUUUGAGCUCAAUCUAACGGUUAAAUUGAUGGAUAUUGAGGUUUAAGUGGGUCAAAUUCUUAGAAAGUAGAAUUUUAGGACUAAUGGGAGUUUUUAAGAUUUCUUGCAAUCUACUAGUUAGAUUAGAGUGAAACUUGCAUGAGAAGAUAUUAGACUUAUUUUUCUAUGUGCAUUAGAAUUUUGAAAUCAAUCGAACGGUGCAAAAGAGAGAUAUCAGCUCUGGAAGAUUGGCAUCAAGUUUGGAUAAGGAGGUAGGCCAAUAUCCAAGUUUAUUUUUGAAGUUAUCAUUGAUUUGGUAACUCCGAUCCUUUUCAAUUUUUUUGUGCUUGUUUUUAACUUAUUUUUUUAGAAGUGUGAAAAAUUUGAGUUAAGAUCAACGGUUUAUUCAUUAGUUAUUGAGGUUUAAAUCUGUUAUAUGAAUUAGUAGGAUUUGGUUUAGGGUUUAGGAUUUGAUUUAGGAUUUAGGGUUUGGUUUAGGGUUUGGUUGGGAUUUAUUUAGGGUUUAGGAUUUGGUUAGGAUUUGAUUUAGGAUUUAGGAUUUGGAUUAGGAUUUGAUUAGGAUUUUAUUUAGGAUUUAGGAUUUAGUUAGGGUUUGGUUCAGGUUUUAGGGUUUGGUUUAGAGUUUAGGAUUUGGAUUAGGGUUUGAUUUAGGAUUUAGGAUUUAGUUAUGGUUUGAUUUAGGAUUUAGGGUUUGAUUAGGGUUUGAUUUAGGAUUUGGUUAGGAUUUGGUUUAGGAUUUGGUUGGGAUUUGGUUUAAGGUUUGUUUAGGGUUUGAUUCAGGGUUUAAGAUUUUAUUAGGAUUUAAGAUUCAAUUAGUUUUGGCCUAAAGUUUGAAUGAAGUUCAAUAGGAUUUUAACUAGAAUUAAAUUAAGAUUGAAUUGAGAUAUAUUUGAGUGAUAUUUGUGAUCCUUCUGAUAUUUCUUUAAGAAUUCUUAUUGUUUGUUUGAAAUUUCUUUGAGGUUUUUUUGAAUUUGAUUAAGCUUGCUUACCAUUAUUAUG